AGACACUUUUCAAACGAUGGUCGCUCUCCCCUGGGUCUGACAAAGCCAGCCUCGCGACGCACCAGCAGGGUGAGAACGGAGGCAAACCUCCCCAGCACUGGGAGAAACCCCAAGCCCCACCCCCCCGUCCCUCCCGCCCUGAGGCUCGGCCCGCCCUCCUUCCUUCCCUAUUGGCUCGGUGGCUCCNNNNNNNNNNNNNNNNNNNNNNNNNNNNNNNNNNNNNNNNNNNNNNNNNNNNNNNNNNNNNNNNNNNNNNNNNNNNNNNNNNNNNNNNNNNNNNNNNNNNNNNNNNNNNNNNNNNNNNNNNNNNNNNNNNNNNNNNNNNNNNNNNNNNNNNNNNNNNNNNNNNNNNNNNNNNNNNNNNNNNNNNNNNNNNNNNNNNNNNNNNNNNNNNNNNNNNNNNNNNNNNNNNNNNNNNNNNNNNNNNNNNNNNNNNNNNNNNNNNNNNNNNNNNNNNNNNNNNNNNNNNNNNNNNNNNNNNNNNNNNNNNNNNNNNNNNNNNNNNNNNNNNNNNNNNNNNNNNNNNNNNNNNNNNNNNNNNNNNNNNNNNNNNNNNNNNNNNNNNNNNNNNNNNNNNNNNNNNNNNNNNNNNNNNNNNNNGGCGGGCGGGAGCUCCUCCCGGCCCCCCUGGACCCUUGCAAGCGGCCACCCUCCACCAACUUUAUUUCCCGGCGCACGGAGGGGCGGAGGUCGAGUAGGCUGGCGGCGAUUUGCUGCUAGCUUGAUUGUAUUUAUUGUCCUGUGCGGUGGCACUGCCUCCACCCCGACCGGGCCCAGACUGGCAGGUCGGGGACGGGAGUUGACAGUUUCCGCGCCACCACCCUUGCAGUCGCUCCUUGAGCUCCUGUCCCGCGGUCCUCACCCAUCUGUCAUCUCCCCCGUGUGCCUUGGUCUGCUGCUUUUCUUAUGCCUGUGACACCCUUUGCCGGGGCGAGAGACUCUCCAGAGGAUCCUCUGAGACAUCUGCUGUCUGUCUCCGGCAUCAUUGGAGCCUUGGCUGAGAUGCCUCUUGGUCUCUGGCAGGAUUAAACUGUUCGGGAAAUAACCCAGGAAGACCCCGGCACCACAGCGUGGAGGUCAACGAGUUGUUUAGUAGUGGCGGGGAUAAGGCCAGAGGCUUUAAGAACCGUCCCUCUAGCCUUAAUUCUUAUCGUGCGAAACAAAACAAAACAAAACAUUCCCUAGAUGCUCAACGGACCAUACACACCCAGUGACAGCACUUGGCAGUUGAUGAGGUUUGUUUUAAGCAGAUAGAAAAUUUUAAGGGAGUUGCAUCUCGUGUUGAGUACGUGGGUGUUAAUAGGGACCAACGUUUCCUUGAACAUUGAAUUCAACCCGCAUUUUUCCUAGGGUUUGUUUAACAAAUUGAUAGGACAAACCGAAUUGGGCUUUCCUUCCUGAUGAUUCUUGGCUGAUCUGCUGUUACUUUAAACUUCCACACCCAGAAACCUUAUGCUAAUAAAGAUGUUGACAAUGAGCUUUCAUUUUAUAGAUGUAGUUAUUAAUAUGGGGUAUCUGUUUUAAAGAGCUUUACAAGUAGUCAGCAACUUUUUUUUUUAAUAACUCUUUGCUGUCCUUCAUAUUGUUACUGCCUAAAGAUUGAGAAUUUGGAGACAAGAAUUAGGAGAAAAUGAGUUACUAUAUAAUUUAAUUUACAUGAAAGCAGUGUGUAAGCCAUAAAAUGAUCUAUAAAUUUAGUGUAUAUUUAUUGAGCAUGGACUGUGUGUCAGAGUUUUCUGAACACAUAAAUAUCCCCUCCUUCAUGGAGCUUACAUUCUAGUGGGGGAUCUCAGAUAAUAAAAUAUGUGCUAUGUCAUUCGGUGUCAAGGACUAGAGAGAAAAAGCAGGGAAGAGGGAGAGAUCAGGAACUGGAAAAGGGUUUUAACUAGGGGUAGUCAGGGAAGACUGCCUAGAGAACGUGGCGUCUGAGCCCAAGACCAGAAAGGAGACGGUAAUCCGUACCCCUCUCUAGGGGAAGCAUGUUCAAGUAGACGGAAAGGCACUUGCAAAAGCUUUGAGGCAGGCGUGUACUGGGCAUGUUUGUGGACAGCUCAAAGUCAGAUUUGGCUGUGGUGGAGUGAGCAAAGUAAGAGAUCAUCUCUAGUAAGAGAUGAAAUCAGGUGAGUGGGAAUGGGAAAUCAGAUUGGGUGAGGUCUUGUAGGCCUUUGCAUGGGCUUGGUCUUACACUCUGAGUGAGAAAAGGACUCAUCCCUCUGAAUAAAGAAGAGAUAUAAUGAGACUUUUACAAGGGUCACUCUGGUGGCUGGAUGAAGAAUAGACUUUGGAUGAAGGAGAGGGUAGAAGCAGAGAUAUCAGCUCAGGGACUCCUGCCAUAAUUCAGGCCAUGGAUGAUUAUCAUUUGGACCAGAGUAGAAUCGGUGGAGUGGUUGAUUUCUGGCUGAAUUGAGGAUACACUCAACAGGAGACUUAAAGACAACUACAGUUUUUGUCCUAAGCGAGUGCAAAGAUGCAGUAGACAUGUACUGAGAUGAGGUUUAUGAGAUGGGCAGUGGGUUAGGAGUUGGUUAGAAGACUACAAAAUGAGACAUCCAAGUAGAGAUUAUUGGUAGUAGAUUCUGGUAACUUUGUAUUGAAGACACUUUUCACAUUAUCUUGACUUUAACAGGGGUUUAGUAUUUCACCCAUGAACUGCCAACCUUUUUCAGACUCCUUUUCUUUUUAGCUCUUUUGGACCAACUUAUUCAUUCUUUUCACGAAAUGUAGCUUUGCUUUUAUUUGCUUGCACUCAGAACAUGUUUGUUAGUUUCAUUUGUAGAGAAAGCCGUAUAAUCCAGAAUUUCAGAGUACCUUUUUAGUUUGUUGCUGUGUUUAACUUGAACACCUCAAAUGACUAAGCUUUUCCCAAAUUAUGUUUAGAUACCUGGCUUAAGUUCAAGAAUUUUUUUAAGUCUCAGAAAUCUUGUUAUCAAACGUGGCUUCACUUGGCCAUUUGUGAAAUUACAAUGGAAAUGACCUGUAUUUUUAAUACUUUAUUAAUAAAUCAGUAAUAUACAGGGAUUAUCCUAAUUCUUUUGUUUCAUUAAAGAUGGCUUGAAAUAAAUGGGCCAUCACAUGUUAAAUGGAGAUCUUUUCAUCAAAUUAUGCAAUAUUUGGAGCCAUAGAAUUUGGCCUGUAAAACUUGUAUCAAAAAUAUAUCAGGAUUCUAGAGUUUAAGGUCUAUACCUUCCCUUAAGAACCAGGCUACAAGUACACGACUGUUCGGGUUACCUUUCCCUUUUCUCUAAGUUGUGCCAAGACAUCUACUUCUUUUAUUUGUAUCAUUCCUUCGAAUAAAGUAAUUUGGUACCCCCUCCUCCGAAAAAAGAACCCAGGCUAUAAACUAAUAUAUUUAAAUGGAUUUUCAAUCUAAAUAUAUUCUGAAAGUACAUAAAAAGACGUCAUAUUAAUAACUAAUUAUAAACAGUCCAUGGGAACACCAUAUGUUCUUUGAUACUGCUUUCUUUUGCUAUUGUUUCUCACCGGUAUUUGUCUUUCUUUCUCUUAAUUCUUCUGGCCUUCAUUUGUAGUAAGUGAGAGAGACCUGAUACAUUUUGAAACUUUGAAUGGUUUUCAGGUCUAAUUGUGGGGAAGAAAAAAAAAAAGAAAAAUCUUUUUUAACAAUAUGAAAAAGUAGUGCUUAAAGUAUGAUCAUCUUAAUUAAUCAAGAAAGGAAUCAAACGGUUUUCCUAAAGGCUCGUCAUUGUUCCAUUCAAAUGUGAUUCCUUGAAAUUGAAACUCAAAAUGUGUGAGGAAAUAAGAGAACUUCUAGCCACUUUAACUGAGUGGAAGAAAUGGAUGAAUGAUAAGAAUACUGUGCAUACUUAGAAAUGUUGAUACAAUUCAUCUUUAAAAGGUAAAGAGGAUAGAUUUUUGCCAGAAACCUGAAGAAUCACAUAUUUCAAAUUGAAAAAUGAGGUAGGGGAAAGUGAAGCUUAGAAACUAUACAUUGAACAUUUUGACACUAAAUGAUUCCUAGAAAAAUUAUAGACCAGAUUGCCAAGCAGAUGCUUUGUAAUCUGUGAUUAGAAAACACGGCACUGAUUAUUAAGACCCAGAGUUAGUUUUUUAAGAACAAGUCAUAUUAACCUCUUGCUCACUUUGUCAAAGAUAUGAUAGUAUUAAAUAAUCUUUUUAAGCACCUCACAUCUUACAAAUUGCGUUCCCAUUUAUUAUUUUAUUUAACUCUCACAACAUCCCUGUCAAGUAGUGACAGAUGAGGAGUCCUCAAUGGUAGGAGCCCUGGGAAGACACAAAGGGGACAGAUGUGGGAGAUGUUAGAAAGGACUUGCCUAGAUACGGAGUAAAAGAAAGGGAGGAAUCAAAGUGGGCUUUGGGGAUUCUAGACUGUCUGACUGGGUGGAUGGUAAUGCUGGUAAUUGAUCUUAAUUUUGAAAAUAUAGGUGGUGGAACAGAUUUGGAGAUGCGAAAUUCAUCAGUUCACAUCAGUUUGGUGAGACUAGUUGUUUUCUUUGUUGGAACAGAGUCAGGUAUAAUUAGAAUUUUCAAAAUAUAUAGGUCUGGAGCUCAGAAGAAGAGUCUAACCCAAAUAAAAAAGGCUUCAUUCAUUCAGUAGACAUAUCCUUUCAAAUACUUUUGGUAAGGAAGGGAGGACAGUGGGGAAGCUUGAGCUGGGAGAUGGCAUUGGGGAAGGUUUAUUUUUCUUUAAAGAUGAAAGAGCCAAGGAACUUUAGUGGACUGAUAGAAAGAGUCCAUUGAAGAGGAAAGAAAAUUGAAGUCACAAAAAUUGAAGUCACAAGAGAAAGAAGAUAAUCAGACAUAACCUCAGCAGAAAUGGAAGGGUUGGGAACAAGAGCACAGGUGAAAGGGCUACCCUGUAGAAGAGCAGUGAUGUAUCUUCCUAGUAUUUAAAAAAAAAAAAAAAAAAGGAAAUAGAGACUAGAUACAUAAUAUAAUAUAGCAUCUCUUGUCUCUGUGGGAAUCAGGUUAUGUGCUGAAAUUGAGGAGGCAGAGCAUGGAUUGGGGUAUAUUUCAUGGGAAGAGUUACUGUUGUGAUGGGAAAAGGGACUUGGCCAGGGACCACUAACCUAAUUACUGAAUAGUGAUAAACACCCUUGAAAUCACAAAUGAGUAGAGCAGCCAAUCAGAAUGGUUAAGCAGUUUUCUCCAGCAGUUCUCCAUAACAGUGCAGAAAAUGCUUGGUUAGACUAAAUCUGGAUGGGGAGUGGAAGGGGGGUUGUGAUGUAGAACCUGGAAGGGGGUGGUACAGAGUCAAGGAACUGAGGGUGCUAAUGAAGUUGCUAAUUGAAGAGCUGAACCAUAGGUAGGUAUCCUGCUUGAUUGAAGAAGACAGCCAAGCCAAGAUGGAGCUGAUAAAUGUGGAGAACAAAGAGGGUGAAGAAUUUCAACGAGUAAGCUGUAGGAUUAAUGGAAGCAAAGGAGUACUAGAGAUGGAAAAAUAGGCAUGUGAUGUGAGGUCCUAACUUUAAGAUUCUAGAGUCAGAACAGUUGCAAGUGAUGAUAAGGGUCAAAGUAUGGCCAGUGAUGAUGGGUAGCCAAGAUUAAUAGUGCUUAUGCAACAAUCAUAAUGUUAAUAAAACUACAAUUUAUCAAGUACUGCUGUAUACUCGUCUCUAUACUAAAUGCUUUGCAUAGUUUAUCAUACUCAUUUUUCACAACUAUCCCUUGAGGCACAUAUUAGGGACUCUAUUUUACAAAUGAAGAAAUGGGUGCUCGGUGAAGUAAAGUAACUUUCCCAAAGGUACACAACUAGGAAGUACCUGAUUCUUUCUAGCCCCAAAACCCUUAUGCCCACUUAAUACACUAUGCUGUUCUUCUCCAAAGUAGGGGUCAUUGAAGAAGAGGAAAUCAAAGAGCUCUAAAUCCUAGUAUGUUGGGAUUAGAUUAUUUUUUCUUAUGGAUAAUGAAGCCCUCAGAAACAACAGAUCUUGUGUGGAGAGGAAGACAGGACUUUUGUAACAAAGUUCUCAAUAAAUGGAGAUGAAAGACUCAAAGUCAGUAGUUGACAACUAUAAAUAUAGCUAUAAUUUAGCCUUAGAAGUAGAUAAAAUGGGUAAUAAUGAUGCACAAGUCACUUUGAGAACCAGAUGAUAACCAGAAUAAUACCGACUUGUCUUCCUGGCCUGGGAUCUGGGUGUAUACAGUGAUGUAUUAAGAGGAGAAGAUUAAAUGCUCCUCUUGUGUAAAGGUAGAGGAUACAGGGACAUUUCUUCACAACAGAACUAGGGUUCCUAAAGCUAGGGAGUGAAGUGUCCAGGGAGGAAGAAGCACUCAUCUAGUUGCGUAUGAAAAAUCAGAAAGGAUAGGUGGGCAGGUAGGGUCAUCAUAUAAUUUAUUGACCAAAUACGUGUUAUUUUGAAAAUGAAAAGAGUGUCAUUAAUAGUUACCCUGGGACAGCAGGCAUAAACUAGGGCUGUCCUAGGCAAAUCAAGAUGGGUAGUCAUAUCUGUGAUAUGUAACAAGAGGAGCUAUCAUCUUGGAAAAGGGCUGUGGAUGUUGAGAAUGAACAAAUUGAGCCCUAAGUUAGAGGGACAUGAAUGGGGCUUACUAGCCUGAGAUUAUUCUCUCCAGCCCUGUAAUACUGCCCGGACAUGUUCUGGGUAUGUCUUGUUCUAGAAGAGUCAGAAGAUCUGAAGGAAGUUCUGGAUUCAUCUCUCUAUGAAGAGUUGGAAUCCAUUAGCAUAUAGGUGGUACUAGAAACCUUAGAAGUGGAUGAGAUCAUCAAAAGAGAACACAAAGAAUGGGAAGUGAGGAAUAGGACAGGAUCCAGAGGCUGCCCAACAUGAAGGAGCUGGCAAAGAAGAAUCCAGCUAAGGAGACUGAGGAGGAGUGGUCAGAAGGGUAGAAGGAAAACCAGAAGAGAUUUGUCAUCUCACAAAUCCAGAAGGAAGAGAGAUUUAAGAAUGGAUGAUUAAUAGUCUCAUUUGCUUUAUGUUCCUCAGAGGUCAAAGAAGAUAAGGACUGGAAUGUGUCCAUUGGGUUGGAUUUGGCAAUUAGAAGGUUAUUGUUGAUCUUGGCCUGAGUAGUUUUGGUAGAGAAGUGUGAGCACAAGUGCAGUUCACAGAGAGGUGAGCUGAGGCGAGGCAGGAGGACUGCUUCAAGUAUAGAUUACCCUUGAGGAAUCUUGAAAGACAAGGGUAUCAACAGGAUAUAUCCGGAUACUUAUAUUUAUAUUUGUAUUUGUAUUUGUACUUAUAUUUAUUUAUUUUAGACAGUGAAGAAGUCAGUGGAGAUGAGGGGUUGAAAACUAGGAGGGAGUUGGAUUUCCAACCAAUGCCUCCUAGUAAGGUCAGUAAUUUUGUUGUAAUGAAAAGAGUGAAAGUAAGAGGAAGCUACAUUGUAAAUCAAGUAAGACAAACUUUGUAAUAACUACAAUUCAUCAGAACCUGGAAUAGGUAGGAAGAAGAGAGAGAAUUCCUAAUUUGGUGAAAUAGUGAAAAGUGACAUCUAGGUUGUGGACUAACUCUAGGAUUCCUUUUUUUCUCUACAGUUUUUGGGGGGAGCGGGAAGCAUGCGCAUAAAGUUUAUUCGUUCAGGAUUCCUGAUCCCAUAACACUAAUGAUUUUUAUAAUUUUCAUCGAUUAAUUUUUAUCAAGUUCUUGGACCAAAGUUUCUUUUGCUAGAUACAACAUUAACACAUCUCGCAAACACUGUCAACGCAACAUUUUAGAGCUUGAAAAGCAACAAGGGAUAAUCUCAUUCCACCUUCUCAUUUUUUACACGGGGAAUCAAAGAUCUAGGGAUGCUGGCACACAGGUGGAGGCACCGAGCCUCAGUCUGACUCUUAGUCCAGAACUGUAUCUCCUACAACCUGCUAGAUUUUUAUCCAGGCUACUUUCUUGUUGCUAAGGCAUCUUCUCCUUCCGUUCUUUGACUUGACAGAUUGUAGAAGACUAACUUUUUAAAUAAGUAAAAUAGAGGUCUUAAUAUAUGGAUUUAUUGUGAUAGAUGAACAAAAUGCUCUUCGCAUCUUACUGGAAAAUCACAACAUGUUGUAAUAUUAUUUUAUUAUUUUAUUAUUUUUAUUAAAUUAUUCCAAGCCCUUCUUGGAAAGUUGAACUUUCUUUUAAGAUAUCUCUUUUGCGGGGCGCCUGGGUGGCGCAGUCGGUUAAGCGUCCGACCUCAGCCAGGUCACGAUCUUGCGGUCCGUGAGUUCGAGCCCCGCCUUGGUCUCUGGGCUGAUGGCUCAGAACCUGGAGCCUGUUUCCGAUUCUGUGUCUCCCUCUCUCUCUGCCCCUCCCCCGUUCAUGCUCUGUCUCUCUCUGUCCCAAAAAUAAAUAAACGUUGAAAAAAAAAAAGAUAUCUCUUUUGCAAAGUCUCUUUUUAAGAAGUCUCUUCUCUUUAAGAAGCCAAAAAGAAUAUAGACUUCCAGACCAUAAAAAUGUGGUUUCUAGGAAUAGCUUAUCCAAUUUCCUGGCUAUCAUUCUUGACUAUCUCUGGAUAGUUCAACUGUCUAAAAUCAUAACAGUAAUAUUUCUCUUUUAUGGUACUUGAGAAUAUUAAGGUAUAUAAAAUUAUAUUUAACGUAAUAUUAUAUAUGUAUAUAUAUCAUUUACAUAUAUUGUACGUUAUAUAUAUUUGGGACAAUUUUUGAAGUCAUUUGAUAAAUACUGAGAAAUAUCAAUGUUCUUUCCUCUUCCUUUUUGGUUUUUGUUUGUCUUUCUCUCUCUCUUUCCUUAUUUUUGAAAUAUAAUUAACAUAGUGUUAUAUUAGUUUCAGGCGUACAAUAAAAUGAUUCAACAAUUCUAUAUGUUACUCUAGUGUUCAUCAUGAGAAGUGCAUGCGUAAUCCUCAUUACCUAUUUCACCCAACCCCCCACCCACCCACCCAUGUCUGGUAACCAUCAGUUUGUUCUCUAUAGUUCGGUCUGUUUCUUGAGCCGCCUGAGUGGCUCAGUCAGUGAAGCGUCUGACUCUUGAUUUCGGUUCAGGUCAUGAUUUCACAGUUCAUGAGUUUGAGACACACUUUGGGCUCUGCAGUGACAGUGAGGAAACUGGUUGGUAUUCUUUGUCAGUCUGUCUGUCUGUCUGUCUCUCUCUCUCUCCCCCUCCCCCACUCACAUUCUCAUUCUCUCUCUCUCUCUCUCUCAAAAAUAAAUAAAUAAACAUUAAAAAAAAAAAAGAGUCUGUUUCUUGGUUUGUCUCUCUCUUUCUCUUUUUCCCCCCAUUGCUCAUUUGUUUUGUUUCUUAAAUUCCACAUAUGAGUGAAAUCAUAUGGUAUUUGUUUUUCUCUGAGUUUUUUCACUUAGCAUUAUACUCUAGCUCCAUCCUGUUGUUGCAAAUGGCAAGAUUUCAUUCUUUUUUAUGGUUGAAUAAUAUUCCAUUGUAUAUGCAUACCACAUCUUGUUUAUCCAUUCAUCUAAUGAUGAACCCCUGGGUUGUUUCCACAUCUUGCCUCUUGUAAAUAAUACAGCAGUAAACAUAGGGGUGCAUGUAUCUUUUUGAUUAGUGUUUUCAUUUUCUUUGGGUAAACACCUAGUAAAGGAAUUACUGGAUAAUAUGGUAGUUCUAUUUUUAAUAUGUUGAGGAACCUCUUUACUCUUUUCCAUAGCAGCCAUGCAAGUUUACAUUCUCACCAGCAGUGCACAAGGAUUCCUUUCUCUCUACAUCCUCACCAACACUUGUUAUUCCUUGCCAUUUUGAUUCUAGUCAUUCUGACAGUUGUAAGAUGAUAUUGUAUCGUGGUUUUGAUUUGCAUCUUUUUUUCUAAGUUUAUUUAUUUUGAGAGAGAGAGAGAGAGAGAGAGAGAGAGACAGAGGUGGGGGCGGGGGGUGGGGAGAGUCAGAGAAAGGGAGACAGAGAAUCCCAAGCAGGCUCUGCACUGCCAAUGCAGAGCCCCAUCGCAGGACUCGAACUCAUGAAACCGCAAGAUCGUGACCUGGGCAGAAGCCAAGAGCUGGACACUUAACUACCUGAGCCACACAGGUGCCCCAGAUUUGCAUUUUUCUGAUGAUUAACAAUGUUGAGCAUCUUUUCAUGUGUCUGUUGGCUGUUUGUAUGGCUUCUUUGGAAAAAUGUGUAUUCAGGCCCUCUAGCCAUUUUUAAUCAGAUUAUUUCUUUUUUGGUGUUGAUUCAUAUAAGUUCUUUAUAUAUUUUAACUGUUAACCCCUUUUCAGAUAUAUCAUUGCAAGUAUCUCUGCCAUUUCUUCGGUUGCUUUUUUGUUUUUUGGAUGGUUUCCCUCACUGGGCAGAAACUUUUUUUUUGGUGUAGUCCCCAAUAGUUUUAAUUUUGCCUUUUUUUUUUUUUUUUUCCUUAGGAGAUAGAUCUAGAAAAAUGUUUCUGUGACCGGUGUCAGAGACAUUCCUGCCUGAGCUCUUUUCUGGGAUUUUUAUGGUUUUAGGUAUUAUGCUUUCAUUUAGGUCUUUAAUCCCUUUUGAACUUAUUUCCACAUAUAGUAGAAGAAACUCGUCUGGUAAGACUGUCUUUUUCCCAUUGUAUUUUCUUGCCCCUUUUGUCAUAGAUUAAUUGACUGUGUAGGCAUGGGUUUAUUCUGGGCUCUCUAUUCUCUUCUACUGAUGUGUCUGUUUUUGUGCCCGUACCAGACUGUUUUGAUUACUAUAGCUUUGUAGUAUAUGCUGAAAUGUGAGAUUGUGAUACCUCCAGCUAUGUUCUUUCUCAAGAUUGCUUUGCCUAACUAAUUUAAAGGGAUUCAUGUACCCCUUUGUUGUACCUCCUAUACUGGAAUUAAAAUUUUUAAAAACACUAAAAAAAUAGAUUGCUUUGGCUUUUCAGGGUAUUUUGUGGUUCUAUAUAAAUUUUAGUAUUAUUUGUUUUAGUUUUGUGAAAAAUGUUGUUGGUUAUUUUUUCUCUACUUUUUUUAAAUGUUUAUUUUUUAAUUUUUUAAGUUUAUUUAUUUUGAGAGAGAGAGUGCAAACAGGGUAGAGGCAGAGAGAGAGGGGGGAGAGAGGAUCCCAAGCAGGUUCUGCACCAGAGCCCGAUGGUGGGGCUCAAACUCACGAACCACGAGAACAUGACCCAAGCCAAAGGCGGAUGCUUAACCAACUGAGCCACCCAGGCGCCCCUAUUUAUUUAUUUUUGAGAGAGAGGAAGAACACAAGCUGGAGAGGGGGGCAGAGAGAGAGACACACACACAGAAUCUGAAGCAGGCUCCAGGCUCUGAGCUGUCAGCCCAGAGCCCGAUGCAGGGUUCAAACCCAUGAACUGUGAGAUCAUGACCUAAGCCGAAGUCAGAUGCUUAACCAACUAAGCCACCCAGGCACCCCUAUUUUUUCUCUACUUAAAAAAAAAAUUUUUUUAAUGUUUAUUUUUGAGAGAGAGAGACGGAGUUUAAGUGGGAGAGGGGCAGAGAGAGAGGGAGAUACAGAAUCUGAAGCAGGCUCCAGGCUCUGAGCUGCCAGCACAGAGCACGACACGGGGCUCGAACCCAUGAACAGCAAGAUCAUGACCUGAGCCAAAGUCGGCCACUUAACCGACUGAGCCACCCAGGUGCUUCUGUUUUUUCUCUAUUUUUACGCCUGCUUUUUUUGGCAUGGUUUAACCAUGUCCAAUCCCCAAGAUAGUUGUUGGGAUGGAUUUGCUAUUUUUUUAGGAAUUUGUUCUUAUGUUUAACUGUUUCAAAGUUAACUGUGUCUUUGCUUAGUGGAAAUAUAUUUUAGUUAAAUAUAUUUAAAUGAUCUGUGGUAGCAUUUGGGUUUUGGCUGAGUGUGUUGUUUUUAGUAAUUUAUUUAUCAUAAGUGAAAUCAAUUCUAUAUGCUCAUUUGAGUAUUAUGAACUUUUAAAGAGCAAUAAUAGUAUAUUAAUUUUUUCCUUUCUUCUUUCUCUUCGAUCUUUAAGAUUGCUCUGAUCAAAAUGUGAUUUGGUACAAUAGAAUUUUAAUUAGUUCUGUAGGUUCAUUUGUCUGAGUUCCUUAGAUGGAAUAAUAAUUGUAAUUGCAUACGUAUUAUUUCAACAGUGUAAUUAUUAUACUGAGUUUGGAUGGGUGUGAAAUUAAAACAAUGGUAAGAAUGAUUUCCUCUUUUAUUAUAUUAAUGUGGCUUAUUUGAAAGGGCAACAAAACAUUUAUCUGUUCAUAAAAUCACUCAUUGUUACUGCUUCUGGGCAUUGAUUCAUUGAAGUAUACAGUUCAGUGUAUCCUGGUCGAUGGUAAAGGGAGGUUUUACUGGUGUAACUUGCAGAACAGCUGUGUCUUUCUAUCAGCUUGCGUUUAUACUACUUUUUAAUAUUUACUUGUCUAGACUUUACUGGAUCUUAAAUGCAUUGUAACUUACAGUUUAUUAAAGGUUAAAAUCCGGGGCGCCUGGGUGGCGCAGUCGGUUGAGCGUCCGACUUCAGCCAGGUCACGAUCUCGCGGUCCGUGAGUUCGAGCCCCGCGUCGGGCUCUGGGCUGAUGGCUCAGAGCCUGGAGCCUGUUUCCGAUUCUGUGUCUCCCUCUCUCUCUGCCCCUCCCCUGUUCAUGCUCUGUCUCUCUCCGUCCCAAAAAUAAAUUAAAAACGUUGAGAAAAAAAAAAAAAGAUUAAAAUCCUUUACUGUCUUCUGGAUUUCCUCUUUAAUAAUGCUUCCAGGGGCGCCUGGGUGGCGCAGUCGGUUAAGCGUCCGACUUCAGCCAGGUCACGAUCUCGCGGUCCGUGAGUUCGAGCCCCGCGUCGGGCUCUGGGCUGAUGGCUCAGAGCCUGGAGCCUGUUUCCGAUUCUGUGUCUCCCUCUCUCUCUGCCCCUCCCCCGUUCAUGCUCUGUCUCUCUCUGUCCCAAAAAUAAAUAAACGUUGAAAAAAAAAAUUGAAAAAAAAAAUUUAAAAAAAAAAUAAAANAGGGGCGCCUGGGUGGCGCAGUCGGUUAAGCGUCCGACUUCAGCCAGGUCACGAUCUCGCGGUCCGUGAGUUCGAGCCCCGCGUCGGGCUCUGGGCUGAUGGCUCAGAGCCUGGAGCCUGUUUCCGAUUCUGUGUCUCCCUCUCUCUCUGCCCCUCCCCCGUUCAUGCUCUGUCUCUCUCUGUCCCAAAAAUAAAUAAAAAAUUUUAAAAAAAUUAAAAAAAAAAAAUAAUGCUUCCAAAGAUGGUAACUGUUCUUUAAGUUUUUUCUGUUAGCCUUAUUUAAAUAUUUUGGAGAAAAUUUCUUUUUUUCUUUUUUAAGUUUAUUUAUUUAUUUUGAGGGAGAGAGAGAACUUGGGGAGGGGCAGAGAGAGAAUCUCAAGCAGGUUCCGUGCUGUUAGCACAGAGCCCAAUGCAGGGCUCGACCUCAUGAACUGCCAGAUCAUGACCUGAGCUGAAAUCAAGAGUCAGGUGCUUAACUGACUGAGCCACCCAAGCACCCCCGGAGAAUAUUUCUGAAGUCAUAUGUUCCAUACAACUGAAACAUAUUCAUUUUCUCUACACUUUAUUUUUAAAAAUAGAAUCCCAGUAAUGUAGUUUUGAUAAAACUUGAUUAUGCACAAUUUAAGGAAACAUUUAGAAUGUGUAAUUUUGAUUUUAAAUUAACUUUGAUGCUUACUGUUACUAUAUUACUAUUACUAUAUUUCUGUUUUCUGCAUACUAUACUGUCAUGGAAGUUCACAGCCCAAAAGAUAAUUAGAAAUCAUCUGUUUUGUUUUUGUUUUUAUUUAUUUUAUUUUUAUUUAUUUUGAGAGAGCAUGUAUGCUCGUGUGUGUGCGCACAUGAGCGGGGGAGGGGCAGAGAGAAAGGGAGAGAGAGAAUCCCAAGCAGGCUCUGUGCUGUCAGUGCAGAGCCUGAUGUGAGGGCAGAUCUCAUGAACUGUGAGGUCAUGAUCUGAGCCGAGAUCAAGAGACGGACACUUAACCAACUGAGCCACCCAGGUGCCCCUGUUUUUGUUUUAAUAUGUAUGAGAAAAAUGGGGAUCAGAAAGGUUAAACAUUUGCCUAAGAUUCUAAAGAGUGUUUGAGGCAAAACCAGAAAACCUGAAGUCUCUUGGUUUUUAGUGUAGUAUUCUUUAGACUAUACUGCCAACCUCUUGAACAUUUUAAUGCACUUUAUGAAAGUAAUCUCCUAACCAAAAGAUGUCUGAUAUACUAUAAAAAGUGAUAGCAUUUGGUUUUCAGUAUGUAAUUCAUUUAUAACUUUAACCCCUCUUCUUUACAUGUGUCUACAUGUUUAUACCACAGUGGUAGAAACUAAAUUGUGAUGAUACUCAAUAUAGUAGAAAAAAAUAUUAAGCAUAGUUUGAAGUUGAAAUGCAUUUGCUUAAUAUAUACUCCUUUUUUAUUUCUGUUCUCUGUCACUCUCAGUACCUUCUCUCCUACUAUCUGUCUAUCCAUCUUCAUGGAUGGUUAGAGAGUGGCAGAGUAAGCAGCUGGGUCUCAACUUGACCUCACUGCUAAUCUUUCUUGAUGUGCCACGUUUUAUAACAGUGAACACAUUUGUCUGUAAUUGACUGCCUCAACCAAAUUGUUUUUAGAAGGGAAGCUAAUUUUCACUGUGUCUAUAAGAAUUAUGAAGGAAUAAGAGGAAACUAUUGCCAUGCACACUUACGUGGUGUCUUUACAGCUUCUGUAUAUCUGUGUUCAGUAUUUCUGAAACAAUUUGCAGAAUCUUUUACCUUAUACAAGACAAAUAUUAAAAACUGAUGAUUAUGGUGCUGCUAUAUAAAAUAUUUUUAUUAUUUUCAUUUCACAUUUAGGAUAAGAUCCCAAUCUGGGUUUUUAUUGUUUCUUUAGGAGAUAUGGAAAACCGUUAUUUCUAAAAUUGAUUUUAAAGAACUUUUAAACUGUGUCCUCUGCAUUAUAAUCUUUAAAAUAGGAAGAAUAAACAUCCAAGAUUUUAUUGCUAAAGUUUUUUGUUUUUAAUCUAAAAAAUUUUUGGUAACGUUUUUUACGUGUUUCUGUAGCACUUUCCUCAGUACCUUAAAUGCCUGCUAUCGAACAGAAAAAGGCUUUUGUAAAUGUGGCUAUUUAUUUCUCAGAGUUUAAGUUGUGGGAAAAUUUCCUAAAGGAAUUUGAAUGUUAAAAUGUUUUCUAUCAAAGCUAGUAUCAAAUGAAUUGGUGUUUGUUUGUUGAGCUCUUACUAUCUGUGGCACUGUAUUAGGCAAAAAAAUUUUUUUUUUCUAAACAAAUGAGACCUGAUUUUCCUUCUUAAGGGGAGUAUAAUCUUGUUUGGAAAGAAAGAAUACAAUACCGUUAACACAAGGUGGUGAGUCUUAAGAGGCAUGUUGAAAGUAAUGAACUGGGAAUGAAUAGGAAUUCUGCAGCAGCAACAACAUGACAAGAAACAUUAGUGAAAUAGUGUUGAGACAGUGAGCACCCUUAGGAGAAGUUAUGGGGUGCUGGAACGUGUUCUGAGAUGUGCCGAGAGAUUAGAAAGGUUAGGUGGAGGGAAUGACAUAGCACGAUAAUAAGGAGUUGGGAAAUUAUUCCCUAGUAAUUGGAGUGUCAUUUAUUAUUUUAGGAAACGUGAAUGGCAUUUUUAGCAGUUGUACAAUUUGGAUUGGAUGGAAAGUAGACCAGGCAGAGUAACCAAUUAAGAAGUUGUCAGUAUUACAAGUGAGAGAGGGGAUGAGGGCCGGUGGAUGCUCCGGCAUCCAGGCAUUCAAGGUAAUGAUCAUAAUCACUAAUAAUUAUUGAUCUUCCUACAGUCUGCCCUUCCCCAUGCAACGCAUCUUAUGUGAGUUAUCCCAUGUAAUUUAAAUAUUCACAACAGAGGGGCGCCUGGGUGGCGCAGUCGGUUAAGCGUCUGACUUCAGCCAGGUCACGAUCUCGUGGUCCGUGAGUUCGAGCCCCACGUCGGGCUCUGGGCUGAUGGCUCGGAGCCUGGAGCUUGUUUCCGAUUCUGUGUCUCCCUCUCUCUCUGCCCCUCCCCCGUUCAUGCUCUGUCUCUCUCUGUCCCAAAAAUAAAUUAAAAACGUGGAAAAAAAAAAUUAAAUAUUCACAACAGGAUACUCCUGAAACCAAUGCUACACUGUGUGUCAGCGACCUUGAAUUUAAAUUAAUAAAAAAUAUUCACAGCAGGGGUGGCUGGGUGGCUCAGUUAGUUGAACAUCUGACUCUUUAUUUCAGCUCAGGUCAUGAUCUCACAGUUGUGAGCUCAAGCCCCGCCUUGGGCUCUGCACUGAGUGUGGAGUCUGCUUGGGAUUCUCCCUCUCCUUCUCCUCUACCCCUCUCCCAUUUGCACGCACAAGCUUGAAUGAAUGAAUGAAUGAAUGAAUGAAUAUUCGCAACAAUUUUACAUGCUCUUAGGUAAGACUGAGACUUAGAGGAAACCAAGUAAGCCAGGGUCAUAGAGUUAGCAAGUAGCAGAUGCAGAGGUAAACCAGCAAAGCUGUCAAACGGAAGAACUGACUGGGCCCCAGAUGAAAUGCUAUUCUGGUUUCUCCCUGAGUAACUGGGUAGAGCCCAUCAACUGAAAUAGGAGUGAGGAAGGAAGAGCUGGUUUGUUGGAGGAAGGAGUUGAUGUUUGCUUGGGAGAAUAGAAAUUUGUAUGCAGAAUCCAGAGAGUGCCUGAGUCUGUAUCCUGCCUCUGACGCUUAGUAGCUGUGUGGCCUGAAGCAGUUGCUUAACCUCACAGUGCUUCAGUUUAUGACAUGUGACAAGUGGGGAGAGAAUUGUACUUACAACAUCCUUAUGAGGAAUAAACCAGCUACUAGAGUAGUGUGCUUACAGUAGUUCCUCGUGUCUCGUAGUUGUUUUAGAUGUUAGCUGUAUCAUCACCAUCAUUCUCAUUAUUCUAUAAAAAUCCAGAGAUGUGAUUUCAAGAUGUAUGAGCCAUUUGGUGUAAAACUUCUAGCACAUUCCUCCUAGGAGGGUGUGAAGUGGCAGGAGAUGAUUUACCCUGAUGAGUCUUUGUAGUUCUUCUUAUUGCCACCUCACUAUAACUACAGUGUCUCAUUCUCCAUUCUUUUAUGGUGCUCAGGAUCAAACCUAGGUUCUUCUGAGAUAUCUGGUUCCCCAUUUGUUUGUUGUAGGGAAAAUGAACUGCUUGUGGAAGGGCUUAACUUCGGUACAUUUUGGUGUGGCUUCCUCUCAAUUUACUUCAAACUUCUGCCUUGCUGUGUUGUACCCAGGCCAGCUUUGUCGAAUGAGGGGUCAUGAUGACUUCUCUCUGGGCCAGUUACAGGUGUCCAGGCAGCCACGAUGGAGAGUGUUAACCAAGACUUCAUGGGCUUAGAGAGGGGGAGGGGAAUAGGUGGGUGUUUGUCGACUCCUGAAAUGUGGAAAAAAAAAAUAGUAUGUUCAUUUUUCUGGGGUCACUGCUUAGAUUUCCACCUGUUGCCCCCACACCACUGCCAUUUUCAUUUUAUUGAGUUUUUUAAAUCAGGCUAAGCAAUUGUACAUAAAAUUAUUUCAGCACAUUUUUGCAUUCUAUAAUACAAAUACAUAAAUGCAUAAUACAGAAUAAAAGUAGGAACAGUACAACUGUUCUUCCCCCUCCCCCCCCCCCCCCACACACAUUUACUGGUUAAGGAUUAGUGUAGCCCUGUGUUUUUAAUAUGGAACAUCUACUUCAGAGCUGACUUCUGUGACUAAUGCGUCUUGUACUUUGUAACUCCAGUUAGAGCUGAAAGUUUUACUUCUUGUUAAAAUGUGAAUACUUCUUUCUAGGAGGAGCAGAGUUUUGUGGGUUUUUUUUUCUCCAGUUCAUUUACUUCUUGAUGUAAAAGAGAAAUGUGGAAACAUAUGCAAAAAGAUAACAUGAAGCUAUAGAAUACCUUGAGAAGUUUGGGGUGGCAGGAUAUUUGACUGGUGGAAGGAAACAGCAUAGGACACAGAGGCAGGAUUACUGUCUAGUUGCAUUUGCACUUAGUGCAACAAACAGAAGUUUGUAGAGAGGUUCUUGAAGCAUGUUUCCAGGUGUGUAGAUUGAAACCUAGCAGACUUGAGUAAAAGUUCCGGAUAACAUUCAGAGAUAGUAUUUAGUGUUAAGGAAACUUCUUUGCCCAUUGUCUAAUUUUUAAUUGACCUGACAGAAGGAGAAAGGUAACGUCUUGGUUAAUAAACUUGGUUAUUUUCGUUCUACUUAAUUAGCUCUAAACAUAUCAUGUAACUCCCAAGACAACUGUCUUGGGACCUAACCAUGGGACUGUGGACCUGUGAGCCUCAGUUUUUGUUAACUGUGGAAUGUGGUUGGAUAAUAUGAUGUCUAAACUUUUCUGCCAUUGUGAAAAAUGUAUGAUUCUAACAUAUUCAUAUUCAUACCUUUAUUUAUGUCACUUAUGAAAUAGUAUAGUGUUAUCAAAUUUUUCUCCUAAGGGUUUUUAGAUUUAGUGAUUUGUUACAAAGAAUAUGUGAGAUCUUUGAGAAAGUCACUGAUCAGUCUCUAGUCAAUAUAUAUUGAACUCUGGAGAGAUGGGAUUUAGCAUGAUUAAUAGUCCAUAACAACCAGCCUUUAUUUUCAAAAGUCUGCUUCAAAUAGUGGCAAGUUCUGAUUCAAAAGAAUUCACUGAAUAUUUAUUAUUCUGUAUAGUAUUGUAGUCAGUCCUUACAAUAAUCCUGUGAUUGACAGCAGUCUCCUCCUUCUUGGUACAUAAUACAUUUCUAAAAGUAUUCUUUCCGGGGCGCCUGGGUGGCUCAGUUGGUUAAGCAUCCGACUUCAGCUCAGGUCAUGAACUCAUGGUUUGUGGGUUCGAGCCCCGCGUCGGGCUCUGUGCUGACAGUUCAGAACCUGGAGCCUGCUUCAGAGUCUGUGUCUCCCUCUCUCUCUGACCUCCUGUGCUCCUACUCUGUCUCUGUCUCUCUCUCUGAAAAAUAAAUAAACAUUUUAAAAGAAAUUUUUUAAGAUAUUCUUUCCAAUGGCAAUUUCCCUAAUACUAUCAUAAUUAGGAAAUUUAGACAAGCACUUAAUAUUAUUUUAAAAAUGAAUUUACCAGGGGCGCCUGGGUGGCUCAGUCAGUUGAGCUUCUGACUUCGGCUCAGGUCAUGAUCUCACAGUUCGUGAGUUCGAGCCCCACGUUGGGCUCUGUGCUGACAGCUCAGAGCCUGGAGCCUGCUUCAGAUUCUGUGUCCUCCUCUCUCUCCACCCCACCCCUGCUUGUGCUCUAUCUCUCUCUGUCUUUCAAAAAUGAAUAAACAUAAAAUUUUUUUUAAUAAUAAAAAAAUAAAGAUGAAUUUACCAGGAUUUUGGCAUUUGGUUAAAGUUAGGAACUGAGUCCUUCAAAUGUUACCAUUUCCCAAGGAAAAUGUGUGAUUUCUAAUGAGCCUAUAAGAAUAAAGUUCAUUAUUAUAAACUUUUUUCUUGUCUUUUUCCUCUUUUUCUUUUCUAUAAAAGUCACAAGACAGGUACUCCCUACUUUUAUUUUCAGUGCUUCCUUGGAAACUAUAUGGUCAUAGAGCAGAACAUCAACAUUUCCAUACACAGUUCUGAGGACAGGUGGCGAUGAUCUUUUUCUUCCUGCAGAUGGCACUCUCUGCUGUUCACCUAGCACUGAGCAUUUAAAGAGCUGUAGCGUUUACCAAGAACGUUUCCUGAUGUUAUAUAAUCUUUGAAGAUCCACACAGUAAUUCUGUGGGACAGACAUUUUAUGGAAAAGGAAGCCAAACUUGACACAGCUCCGUGUUGCGGCUAGUACUUGCUAGAUUCCCAAUGUCCUGCCUUUAUUUUCACCACUGUCACAAUGCUGACUGACUAUUCAGAACAGAUUUAGAACUAGGGAAAUAUAACGAGUAAGCAGAUUAGUAAGUAUUUAUUGAAUAAGAAAUAAAUUUUGGUUGAAUUAUGAAUGAAUGAAUGAAUUAGUGAUAGAUUUGACGGUUCUUAGGGAGGAAACUUGGUGACCUAGAGAGCCUUUCUUGUCCUGUUGUUGAGCGUGAGAUUUUAUUUUCAGUGGUAAAUGUCAUGUUAUUGGUAGCACUGACUAAAACAGAAAUGACAAGUUACUAAAAAAUGCCUAAAACUGAAGAAUAUCUGUGGUAAUGACUUGGUGUAGGGGGGAGGUGUAGUAGUUUUAUACUGUAUGUCAAGGAAAUGACUAUGUCAGAAUCCACAAGACUGACGAUGAUGGCUUAAUUCUGUGAUCUUUUGGAUAAUAGGUUGUGGAAAUUAAUCACAGAACCAGAACAGAGCUGAGAUAUCAUAGUCGGCUGUCCAAAUGUCUGUGGCAAGUCUCACUCAGUAAAAGCAGGGCUGCUAUUGACUUACUUUAUUGACCGUUUCAUUUCCAGAAGGUUAAGGAAAUAGUCAGGGGAGCUGAUAACUCCGAGCCUAAUUUUGACCCACAAUGAGGGCUCCUUAGACAGGUGAAAAUAAUGGGACUCCUGGGAGAAAUCCAUGAUGUUCAUUUAAGAAAUUCAACAAAAGGUUGUGCCACAUACUGUGCUAGAUGCUGUCGAUUUUGCAGUAAAUGCAGCAGACAAAAUCCCCGUCACCAAGGAACUUUUAUUGAAGAGCUAACCAUGAUCCAGCCUCAUGGUUACUUAACUGCAGUGACCUUAACUUGCAUUUCAGACACCUACGUGCAGGGUCACACUCUGGCUGGUGUUAUGAUCUGGAACUGCUUGUUUCAGAAAUCUAAAAAUUCCAAAAUUCCUAUAUCCUUAAUUCCCUCAUUUUUUAUUCUUUAAUCUCAUAGACGUGGGUUGCCUAUAUUUCAGCUUGUAUGUCAGCAUCUACCUGGCCUCUUUCUCUUUCCUACCUGGUCUACAGCCCAGUUUUGACUGUAUGGAUUGUUGUCUCACUUGUACUCUUGAUUCCCUUUCCCUUUCCCUUCUGCCACCUCACCCACCCAAACUCCCAUCUCUAUGUCAGCGACACAAUCUGUGUUAUCUACUGUUAGAUCCAAGCAGCUAAGCCCUGCGGGAGAAUCGCAAACAUCUGAGAAAAGUGACACUACCCAGCGUUCAUGGUUUUCAACUUCUGCUGAGCUCUGAGCCCACCAGGAGGUCCUUUUAUUCAUCCUUGGUCACUGCUCUCUCCAUCCUUGUUUUCCUGCUUCUCAUUUUGUAUUUUAUUACCACACUUAACCGUAAUUCUCUCAGGGACUUGACUUGAGCUGCUCUUUCUGUCUGUAAUGCCUUUCUGCCCCCCUUUUCUUUCUCCCUUUACAUGCUCAACUUUUACUGAAAGAUUGUGUCCAUCAUGAAGCUUCCCUGACUACUCAAAUUGGGCUCAGUGUCCCCUCAUCAGUAUACAGUACCUGUGUAUUGGUUCGCCUUUGCCACUAUAAUGGGACCUUCUUAGGCGCAGAGACGGAAUUACUUUCACAUUUUGCAUUCUUAGUGCCUAGCACAGAGUGGGUGUUUUAGUAAAUGGUAGCUAAAUGGAUCAGUAAAAAAAAACAGGAAGAGGAAUAUGGGUCAAAGCUGGAAUUUAGAGAAUUAGAAGUACAUAUCUUUUUUCAAAGAAAAGAUAGAUAAGAUGCCAUGGAUAUAGUCUCCAGAGGGGAAGGUGGUUGUAAGGUGGCCAUAGGCAGAGUUUUUACUGAACCACUGGAGAUAAUGUGAAGAAAAGAGAGGUAAAGUGGCCAGAUGAACUCAUAUUUUAAAAUAAUAUGUGUAGAAGAGGGAAAGAAGGAUACGAAACAAAAAUAUGUAGAUGUAGGUACAGAUCUCACGUACAACAAGAGAAUACAGGGAUGCCGAGGUGGCUCAGUCAGUUAAGUGUCUGACUCUUGAUUUCAGCUCAGGUCAUGAUCUCAGGGUCGUGAGAUUGAGCCCUGCAUUGGGCUUCUUACUGGGCAUGGAGCCUGCUUAGGAUUCUCUCUCUAUGCCCCCCUGCACCUCCCACCCCUUCCNNNNNNNNNNNNNNNNNNNNNCCCCCCCCGCCGAUCACGGACACGUACACGCUUUCUCUGUCUCUCAGAAAAAGGGGCAGCGGUGGAUGGAGUACAACACUAAGAGAAUAAUGAGCUGAGGUUUUGAAAGAGGUUAAGGGUGACCUUUUACAUUUUAUAUGUAGAAGAUGAAAACAGCAAGCAAAUAAUAGAUUUUUUUUCUUUUAAACAGACUGACCCCCAGAGAGUAGCUACACUUGUGGUGAGCACAGCAUAAAGUAUAGAGAUGUUGAAUCACUAUGUUGUAUCCCUGAGACUAAUGUAAUAUUGUGUGUCAGCUAUACACACAAUGUUUUAAAAAGAUUUAAAAAAAUACACAAAAACCCUGACCCUAUAAUUGGAUACAGAGAGUAAAUGAAAAUUCUCAGCUUCUGUUGUGUUUCUGACUUCUUUGAUGAUGAAGAAUGAUCUAUACAUAGACUAGUAAGACUGGAUGUAAGAAUAAUAAUAGGAGAACGUUUAAGCCCAGGAUUAGAGAGGAGAUUGUACCAGAACCGUUGGCUGCUCUAAAUGAGUUCACAUCUCAGGUUCAGAUUCUGAGAAAAUGUGUUAAUGUCAUUGACAAACUGGUAAUCUUUGAGUCAUUGUGGUGAAUUUGAAAACUGUUAGAAGACUGUGGAGGACUAAAGUUCCAAAAUUAUGUAUGUAUGUAUUCGUAUAUAUGUAUAUGCGUACAUAUACAUAUAUGUAUAUACGUAUAUGUAUAUGUAUAUGUAUAUAUAUGUAUGUAUAUGUAUAUGUAUAUGUAUAUAUAUGUAUGUAUAUGUAUAUGUAUAUAUGUGUAUAUAUGUGUAUGUACAUGGAUAUAUAUGUAUAUGUACAUACGUAUAUAUGUGAACAUAAAUACAUGUGUAUAUAUAUAUAUGAACAUAAAUUUCGAUGAGCUUGAUGCUACUUCCGCAGAAGAUUCUAGAGAUCGUUUUAAAAGAUUCUCCAAUAUUUACAAAAGGUAAAGAUGAGCAGUCAGGGUUACAGGGAUUUUCUAAGAAUAAUUCAUUCCAGGUAGCCCAGUUUCCGCUCUUGGCAGGGAUGCCACAUGCACAGGUUAGGAGAUGCUGAGGCUGUGAUAUAUCUAGGCUCCCAAACGGUAUUUGACAUCAUCCAUUCUAUCAUUCCGUGCAUGGGAACGUUUUGGGGAAUUGCACCAUAAUACAGGGCCAGGGAUUGAACACCCGAACUCAGUCUUAGUUACUAAUGGCAGCCUAGGGGGAAGUCUCUUAGGGGUUGCUCUUUUGACCCUGUUCCACUCAUUGGUUAACACCUCCUCCUACUUCUCACUCUCAGCCGGGAACCUCGCAGUUUGUUUCACCAAGGAAACAAAAGCGCCCAAAUCUUGGUCUGUUCCCUGCCAGAGCUGCUGAUCUUCCUGCGUGUACUCACGUACUGUCAUCCUUUUUGUUCCAUUACGUGAACCGUCCUGUUCCUAUCACUUGUGUGCUAGAUACUCUUCAUAUUGCCUACUCACUGCUGCAGCAAUUACCUCCUCUCGUUCUAGCUUUUCAUCUAUUUUCCUUCCCCUGUUGGAGACACAUGCUAUGCAAACAUGCUAUAAUAGUAUCUCAGCUUGCAAACGUGCCAUAAUGUCAUUCAUUAAAAAACAAAUAAAAAGCACCACCUCCCCACCCCAUGUUCCCUUCAAGCUACCACCCAUUUCCUUGCCACCCAAUGGCAGAACUUCCCAAAACAGCUGUCUUAACCCCCUUGCCUCCGUUUCCUCACCACCCUCUGCCACUCCACUGAGACUACUCUUUGACAGGUUUCAGUAACUUCCACGUUGCUAAAUCCUGUGGUCAUUACCCAGUCUUCAUCUUACUCAACCUGUCAGCAAUAUUCGACACAGUUGAUCAGUCUUUCCUGUUUCGAGCUUUCUUUACCUGGUUUCUGGGAGGCACCGCUCUCCUCAUGUUUCUCCUGCCCUACCUGCCGCUCCUUCUCAGGGUCCCGUGCUGGAUCCUGCUCCGCUUCCCGACUUGGGGGUGCUAACCCGUGGGCUGAGCCUUAGAAUCUCUCCUCCGCUUCGUUUAUACUCACUUUCUGUUCCCCACUGAUCAAUAGUGUGGCCACUAGCCACAGUCCCGUCAUUGCAGAAAGUUCUGUUGGACAGCACUGCUCUGGGUUAUUUCAUCCUUCUCGUCCUGUUAAAAUCCUUCCGUAUGCGGGUAACUCCCAAAUUGACUCACCAGUUCCAGCCUCCCCACCUGGAGUCCAGUUUGGUGUAUCCAAAUAUCUACUUGGUUUUCAAGCCGCCUGUCAGAUAUGGCGUAGCGAAAAUAGAACUUUAUGUUCCCUCCCACCCUCCUGUCCUGUUUGUCUUGUCGAUCACUAAACAGUGCUGCUCUUCACACAGCCUUAAAAAGUCUCGUGGACUUUUUGGGGUGGGGGCAGGCGGGAAGGAGACUUCCAUUCUUCAGGAGAAACAGUUCUAGGGGAACACUUCUUUUUCACCUUUCCACACCUUACUUCAGUCCCUGGCAAGUGGGAAUGAGUAGCUUUUCUCCCUCUUUGUAAUAAUUUUUAACUUCUUCUCUUGCACUCAGUAUCCAGUGCAUCAAACAGAAACUAAUCUCGGAGUCCUGGACUGCUUUCCCCAGAUGCUCACAUGACCCAUUGUCUUCCUUCAUUCAGGCUUCAGCUCAGAUAUUACCUCUUUAGCCUUAUCGCUAUGGAAUCUCUGUGACAGUAGCAUUCCUGUUGCUCUGUACCCUUACUCCUUUACUUUUUUGUAACACUUAGCACUGCCUGACGUUACGAUAUGUUUGUUUUCCAUCUGUCUGUAUCUCACUGGAAUCCAUGAGGGCAGGGACUUUGUUUUUGCACUGUUCCUAGUGCCAAAAAUAGGAGCCAGCAGGUUGUAAAUGUUCCAUAAAUAUUUGUUGAAGUAAAUGCCAUAUUAAUGAAAUUUCUGAUGAAAUAAAACUAAGAGGUAUAGCUAAUACAUUGUCAGGUUUUUGCUUUUUGAUUCGGCCAUUCAUGUUUUACAAUUUACCAGUCACUGUAUCAGAAAAAGUGAAACUUACGGGCGUCUAGGUGGCUCAGUUGGUUAAGAGUCCGACUUCGGCUCAAGUCAUGUUCUCAUGGCUCGUGAGUUCAAGCCCCACAUCGGGCUGUCUGCUGUCAGCUCAGAGCCCACUUUGGAUCCUCUGUCUCCCUCUCUCUAUGCCCCUCCCUCUCCCUUCGCCUCAAAAAUAAACAUUAAAAAAAGAAAAAAAAAAAGAAAAGAAGUGAAACAUUGUUUUCCUGAGGUCAUUUGCGUGAUUACAGGUAUUUUGCUAUGCUUUUCAUUUAUUUUAAGAAUAUAAAAGUUCUUAUAAUAUUGUUAGGAGAAAGUUUUAUUUAUUUAGGCAUUAUAAGAAUUGUUGCAUUAGAAGUUGAAUAUGAUAGGGUGCCUGGGUGGCUAAGUCAGGUGAGCAUCCAACUCUUAAUUUCAGCUCAGGUUAUGAUCUCAUGGCUCAUGAGUUCAAGCCCCACAUCGGGCUCUGUGCUGACAGCAUGGAGCCUGCUUGGAAUUCUCUCUCUCCUCUCUCUCUCUGCCCCACCCCUGCUCACUCACUCACUUGCUCUCUGUCUCUCAAAAUAAAUAAAUGAACUUAAAGUUUAAAAAAAGUUGAAUAUGAUACUAAUAACGAUUUUUAAAUUUGAUGUUUUAGCUAUAAAGUACAAAAAGUAGUAAGACAGCGUUCCUGGCCUUAAGGAACUCAUGACCUAGUGGGUAAGACAGUCAUAAGUAACUACAGGGUGUUUAUGUAGUUUGGAAACAGAGGCAAAUACAUAUAAUGCCCUAAGGAUAUCUUCAAUCUAGUUUCCAAGGCUGUAUUUGCAGACUUUAUGGCCCUCCGGUAUAAUACAGGAUGAUAAAGGUCGGAGUGCAGCUGUGUGUGUGAUCGUGGGGGCAGAGGAAGGUGGGGGGCACAACUGACUCUGCCCGCUGAUAGAGUGACAAUCUUGGGUAGAAUGAAACUCUAUGGAUAUCCAAGCUGGGCUGCGUAAAAUAUAGAUAGAGAAGCCAUCCCAGUUUCAAGUAUUAGAGAAGUCCCUCAGCGUGGCCUAGAAGUGUUCCCUGAUAACAGGGAAAAACAGACGGAUCCAGUUGUCUGUCAGCUUCUGCUGGUUUUUGUUUUUUUUUAAUUUUUAAUGCUUAUUUAUUUUUGAGAGAGAGGGAGACAGAGCGUGAGCAGGGGAGGGGCAGAGAGAGAGAGGGAGACACAGAAUCCGAAGCAGGCUUCAGGCUCCGAGCUGUCAGCACAGAGCCCGACGCGGGGCUCGAACCCACGAACUGUGAGAUCGUGACCUGAGCCGAAGUCGGACACUUAACCGACGAGGCCACCCAGGCGCCCCUGUCAGCUUCCACUUCUAAUGGCCAUGCUGAGUUACCUGGAAUCACCAUAGCAUCAUGCAUAACAUCUCUGAUGGCUCCACCUUGUAAGAGUCAAAGCAAUUAAUAAAAUACCAUAUUUAUGCUCACGAUUUGAUCAGUAACUUCCCCUUCUGUAAUUUUAGAGUUCAAAAUAUCGAGAUGAUUUUUAGUAGUUCAGGAUGCAGCAGGAGCAGGUACGGACGGUGUAGUGAGGCUUCACUCCAGGACUGUUUCAGUUGGUCCGGCAGUUGAUGGACUGAUGUCUGGUGCUCAGAGUGGAAGAGUGGGACCGAAAUCUAGCCUGUACUUUGCUAGCUGUGGGGCUGCCGCAGCCUGGGAAAGGGUGUCUUUUCCUACAUCACAUAAAGCCCUGUGUAGUCGAACAGCCAAUCCCAUUGCUGCAGACUUUAUCCUCAGGUGCCUAGAACAAUGUGGUACUGUUUGCCAAGCUGAAGGGAAUUUAAGAAAGUUCUCUAGCUUUGAGCAUCUUGAAAGAGUUAAAGAUCAUUCUGAUUUUAAAACUUGUGAUUCAAAAUAAACGUUCAUGGUUGCCUUGUACCUGUGUUAAGGAAAUAUUUGUUAUGCCUCUGUCUAGUCAAAACUAUAGAGGGAAAACUGGUAACCAAACAGAAGCAUCUUGCGGCUACACCAGGAGUAGAAAUUUAUCCGUUAGUAUUCUAGAAAUAGCCUUCAUGGUAUUGUACACAAAAGAUUAAUUCAUUUUUAAAAAUUCAACAUGGAUAUGAGGUUUAGUGGUAGUUUAUUCAUUAUUUGGUUUUAGUAUUUUUCUGAGUUUUCAUAGAUCCUCAGAUGCCUCUCACUGUCACAGGAGAGUAGCGACUUGGCUCCCCAUGGCACGCAGGUGGUAUGCCACUGCCUCCCUGAUUCCAAUCGAGAUCGACCCUGGCCUGAUUCUCCUUCCUCUGUAGUUAACUGGUGAUUCCUCUGGAGGUUGGAAGGAGUUGGGAGCAGAGGAGGAGUAAGGAGCUGUGGUCAAGUCACCUUGUUCAGAUCAUGUGCUAACACUCCCUGUCUCAAGAUUCCGUUCUUGGAGCUACAGAAACUUUUUAGUGUGUUCUUGAGGUUCAAAAAGUUUGUUGGCUUCCUUUACCUCAAAUAUGAAGACUGGCCAUUGAUUUUUGUGUCAGAGCUUUAUUAAAAUUAUUUGUGUCUUAUUAUUACCAUUAAUAUGGAUGUCUUUCUUUUUAAUAGGUGAAACUUUAUUCUAGGAAUAUUUGUUUCAUCUAGUUCAUGAGCUCAAAUUAUAAGGACUCUAAAUGUUACAGAAGUGUUGAGAGAUUGGUAAGUAUUUAAUGUAAUAGAUAUUAACAGUCAAAAUACUUGUUUCAGUCUAACCCUUUGAAACUACAUAGUUAUGUGACAUUAAUUAAACCCCAAAGUACAAACAACUAAACUUUCUUUUCCUGUAGUAGAGAUGGAUAUACAAAUUGUGGUGUAUUCAUACAAUGGCAUUAUUGCACAACGGUUUAAAGGAACAAAUGUAAUGUUAAGAGGGAAAUGCAAAGUUGUAAAGGAUACAUAUAGUAUACUAUUUAUAUACAUUUUAAAAAUAGCUAAAACAAUAUUGAAUAUUUUAUGGCUAUAAAAACAUGUAUAGAAAUGAUGAACACCAACUGAAGAGAGGAAGAAGUUGGGUGGGGUGUGGCUUUCCUGUACUGUAAGGUUUGAUUUCUUUGAGCAUGCGCACGCGUGCGCACACACACACACACACACAAACUGAUCUGAACAUAGCAUAAUGUUUAAUACAUGAAUACAUGCCAAGUCUGAGUAUUGGCUAUAACCUCAUGUUAUGUAUCCUUUAUACUUUACUGGGUAUUCAAAGUAUUUAAAAAAUCUUUUUAAAAUACCAUGCAAUCAUGUUUUCAGUUGGCAUUCAGAGUGGCUGAAAGGCAUUCAGUGAAAUUCAACAUUCCUAGUAGAUGAGUCAGAAGAAAUGAAUAUUUCUUAAUGUGCAGAGCGAAAGUGUCCUCUGUCACCCCUACCAAUGUUGUUGUGUUAGUGCUAACUAAAGCUGUUAGAUAGAAGAGUGGAAAGCAUGUGAAUGUUGGAUAGAAAGAUUCAGAAUUUUUGUUAUUUGUAAAUGAGAAGGUUUUAUAUCUGGAAAUUUCUAAAAAAAAAAGUUAGUAAGAAGUUUGGGUAUAUGAUUACUAUAUCAAAAUAAAUCUACUUCCUAUUUGCCUCCUAUAAACCAGUUUUCUAUCCUACUUAGAAUGUAUAAUGGAAACAAAAUCCCAUUUAGAAUAGCAGCGAAAACUGCAAAACAUCUAGGAGCAGACCUAACAAGUCAUGUAUAAAACCUAAUACAUGUUUCCAACAAGUUUCCACCACAAGGACAUAGAGAAUAAAUGUGCAAGUAGUGCAAGGAUGUUCAUUGCAGCUCUGUUUAUGAUAGUAAAAAUGAGAAAUAACCUAAAUCUUCAAUGAGAGAUUGGCUGCAUAGUUAAUAGUACAUCUGUAUAAUGAAACACAGGUAAUGUGCACCUGCAGCAGGAUGCCGGGCCGUAAAGAAGGGUGAGAGAGAGCGCAGGUGAACAGAUGUCCAAAGUGAACCAAAACAGAUAGUAGAUCAUUUAUGUNNNNNNNUAAGAUCCUGUGUAUGUAACUGUGUGUUUAUUUUAGGUACAUUUAAAAAUCAGGAAUAACCUACAUUUCCGCAUGGAUUAUAAUGCUUUUGGCUGACCUGGCAUCUUGUGCUUUUAGGAAGUGGGGUUGAAAUUAUUUCUUCACUACUAAAUAUUCGUGUUAUCUUAAUUUCUGGAAAAUAGACCCUAAUUAUUAGCACAAUUUUUAGAUCUUUCACAUUUUUAAUAUUGCUCAAGUUGCAGCGUGCCUUGCACUUCGUGGUGUCUAGGGAGCCCUGUCGGCAGGCUGCCCUCGCGAAGGGGUUGUUCGUGCCUGCUCACGAGUGAACUUGGUCACAGAUGUUCAUAUCAGUACUGCAGCUGAGUUACAUGCACCAUCGGUACGAUAUCUGAUGAGUUUUAAGUGUUUCCGGGUUGUUUUCGGGCACUUUUUGCUGAUCCCAUCUGGUAAGAUCAAGAAAACACCUGCAUCAGAACUCACAGAAUGAUGUCAGCAUCUUUGGAAGAAAAUCCCAGGAGCAGUGGGAGAUGGUGCGUCUCAUAGGAGAUGGUGCGUCUCAUAGGGUGGAUGGUCUAGAUGGCCCAGAAGGGGCUAUUGUAUGGAAAAUUCUAAGUGAUAAGAAGGCAGUGUGUUACACUUUAACUGGCAGUCUUAUUUCUGUUUUAGUGGAACACUAAAAUUAUUUCUCUUAUGUAAGUAAUUAUGUACCUUAAAAUCAGUGACAGAUUAGGUGAAAUAAGUUAAUAAAAUUGGAUAACUAUGGACUGAAUAUGAACUAGUUUAUAUUAUUAUAUACAUAUAUAUAAUUAGUACAUGUUAUUAUAAAUUAUUAUAAACUAUUUGAUGUAUGGAAUAAUUUUUACCUUAUGAAAGCUUAUAGAGAACCAGCAUUUAUGUAAGAGAAAUUAUUGCUGCAAUUUUGGAUAAAUGAGUAAUGUACAUUUUUUUUUAUACUUUUUCCUAGUGAUCAAUAAUAUUAAAAGCAAUGAUCUUUGUUACACUAAAGAAAGGAUUGCUUUGUAAUAAUACCUAGGAUCCUGAUAGGAAUCCAGGAAUUAAGUCGAUCAGGCCCAAGACUGAACAGGAACCAAAGUAGUAUUAGGAAUUUCUUUGGUUUCUCCCUUUUGUGUUUAUCUGCUUCUCUUUGCAUCCUGGUGGUUCAUUUUCGCCCAUUUGGCUUCUUCUGAGCCUCAACCACCUCCUGAUAACCACCACGGGCCCAUAUUUAUGUGACUUUUCAGCACAUCAGCUAUGCCCUUUAAUUCAAAUUCCCAUGAGAAAGAAAGAAAGCCUGAUUAGCUCAAUGCCUCUUUGCAAGCUGCAUUGAACAAGUCACAUCUUGCAGCCAGAUGUUCAUCGGCUGCCCCGUGAAUCAGGUGUGCUUCGGUUGAUUAGUGCUCAGAUGCCAGCCUUGUCCCUUGGCAGUAGGCAUGGUCAUAUGGUCCACUGCCUUCUCAGCAGGGGCUCUGAGGCAGGUUCCUGCCAACGCCCAUGGGUGAAGGAAGACUCCACAACAUGCAUCUUAUUUAAUUUAACCUCUUCAGGUUAAAAAGUUUUUAAAGGUUACUGGCUGUUUCAAAAGUACCUUUAGCCCUAAGAUGAAACUGUUCUGAAGUUCUUUGGAGAUUUUAUUGUUCAUGAUUUUUCCUUUCUAAAUAGUUGCACAUUUUGGGGCGCCUGGGUGGCUCAGUUGGUUAAGCGACUGACAUCAGCUCAGGUCACGAUCUCAUGGUUUGUGUGUUUGAGACCCACGUCGGGCUCUGGGCUGACAGCUCAAAGCCUGGAGCCUGCUUUGGAAUCUGUGUCCUUUUUUCUCUCUGUCCCUCCCCCACUUGCUCUUUCUCUCUCAAAAAUAAAUAAAGAUUUAAAAAAAUAUUUUAAAUAGUUAUACGUUUUUCUUUAUAUUGGUGUUUCUCCUCUCUUUUGUCUGCUUUACCUUAUUUUCCUUCAUCUUAAAAUGUCACGUUGCCCUUUAUUUGAUUUUAAUGUGUAGUAGGAAGCAAAGUGGCAUAACUUAAGCUGCUAGAAUUGUUCAAUUUUUAUUUACCUGGUGGUAAAUCCUUUUUCUUUCCAUUAACUGAACUCUGGUGUUUGCAGCGGGGGGCAUCACUGAUUGUCAGCUCCAUCACAUGAAAAAUAGUUUAUAGUUUUUAAAAGGUCCAUUCAUAUUUUUAAACCAUGUAAAGCAAGAAUGUUUUAUGAGUGUAUUUUUAUUCUACGAUGCGGCUCUUGAAGAAGGUGGGGAUCUACCUUAACUGCCACCAGUCACUAGUGCAUCUUCCGUGGUGCUUUCACUUCCCGUUCUUGGUUGUGCUCAGCCAUUUCCAUACCUGGGACUAAUUUCUGCCAUGCAAGAAUAUUUAAGGAGCCCUGGCUAGAUAAGAUCUGUGUCUGAAAAUAUUAUAGGGUUAAGUACCAAUGCCCGAUAAUUUAAAGCCAGGCUUUAGUUAAAAACAAACAGCCUUAAAAACGCGUGGUUUUAAACGUAAAUUUUUAUUUCUCUAAUCUUCUUUUUUGUAAUAUUUAUCUUAUAGCUCGGUCAUGAGCACCGACAGUAACUCACUGGCACGUGAAUUUCUGACGGAUGUCAACCGGCUUUGCAAUGCAGUGGUCCAGAGGGUGGAGGCCAGGGAGGAAGAGGAAGAGGAGACACAUAUGGCAACCCUUGGACAUUACCUUGUCCACGGCCGAGGAUUUCUGUUACUCACCAAGCUAAAUUCUGUCAUCGAUCAGGUAAAAUUUCGUAUCAAAUAAUUUUUUUCCUCAGUAUAUCAUAGUUAAUUACAGAUACAUGAUUUCUGAGUUACAUAGUUUGUGAGAGUCUCUUUGAGAUAAAGUCCUAUCUCUCACAUCGCUCCCAACAAAGAAAAGCAGCCUCAUUUAUGAACAUACUAUUUAUUUGGAUACUUUCCAAAAUGUCAGAAGUGUCUUAGGUUAUAAAUGGCCUUAGGAUUCUAAGAUGGCCUCAUCCAUAUUAUGCUUUUUGUCCUAAUAUCAGUGUGAGAUAACUAUGAUUAUUACUAAGGAUAUAAGAGUACGAUUCAGAAACAUUAUGAAUUCGCACUUUCAAUAAAUGUCAGAUAUAUUUUUUGAAAAAUUUAGUGUAAAUUAUAUUUAGGGAGCUUACUAAUUCUGGGGUAAAAGUAGAGAAUGCUUUGUGUAUGUCUAGUUUUUUGUACCUCAUUGUGUUUGCUUAAAGUAUGGUCUGAACAUAUAGCAUUUUAUUGUUUCCUUAUUAUAGAAUUAAUGGAACUUUAAAGCUAGUUGGCAGAUGGAGGUGUCAUCCAAUGUUUUUUUUUUUUUAAGGUUUAUUCAUUUUUCAGAGACAGAGAGCGUGAGGGGGGAGGGGCAGGAGAGAGGGAGACACAGAAUCGGAAGCAGGCUCCAGGCUCUGAGCUGUCAGCACAGAGCCGGACGCGGGGCUCAAACCCACAAAUCAUGAGAUCAUGACCUGAGCUGAAGUCAGACACUUAGCCGACUGAGCCACCCAGACACCCCAAUCUUCUUUUAUAGAUGAAAAACUCAGGUGCAGAAACAUUAAGUAACUCAGACAGGGUUAACUUGAAGCCCAAAUGUGAUUUAUAUCUUUGCUUUGUUUUAGUAGAAAAUAAAUAUGUAUUUUAUGAAAGAAAAAUUUCACUAUCUGCUUUCAGGAGACUAAUUUAUGUGGUUAAAUAAUAUUUCAGUUAACUUGAAAAGGCCCCUAUAGCACCAAUAUGACAGACAUUUUUUUUUUAAUUUUUUUUAACAUUUAUUUAUUUUUGAGACAGAGAGAGAGCAUGAACAGGGGAGGGUCAGAGAAAGAGGGAGACACAGAAUCCGAAACAAGCUCCAGGCUCUGAGCCGUCAGCACAGAGCCCGACGCGGGGCUUGAACCCAUGGACCGUGAGAUCAUGACCUGAGCUGAAGUCGGACGCUUAACCGACUGAGCCACCCAGGCACCCCAUGACAGACAUUUUUAAACACUGAUAUAUGUUACUGGUUUCAGAUAUAAACUUAACCAUUGUUAAAAUUUCUUUGCUAUGAAGGCAUUUUGCUAAUACAUAUAUUGGGUAAAGACAGAGACUAAAAUUAAACAAUGCCUCUGUUCUCACAAUAAGCUAAGGAGCCUAACAUAUAUAUCAGGAAGUAUUUGUUCACUGUGGUGUCCACCUGUCAUGAAAUUUUCCAGAGUAUUUUUAGGUUUAUAUAUUUUUAUUCCUUUUCAUGAAAUUUAUUUAUUAAUUAUGUAACUACAUAUAAUUUAAUUUUUGUAUUUUGUAUGAUUUUUUUCAAAAAUGAAACUUAAAGUUAGAAAAAAUUAUUUGUUAGAUCAUGUGUAAUGAUUUUUAUUUCAAAAUUUUGGUGAUAUAAUAAGCAUAUCAUGCUCUGUUCAUUUUCUUACCCCACAUUAGAACAAUUCAGUGCUUUCUCUUUUUUUUUUAAAGAUACAUAAAUAGUAUCAGAAAUAUCAAAUACUCAGGAAUAAAUCUAAUAAAAUAUGCACAGAUUUCUACACAGAAUUCUAUAAAACAUUAUUGAGGGAAACUGAAGAAGACCCAAAUAAAUGUAGGACUAUGUAAUUUUCACGUAUUGGAAAAGUCAAUAGUGUAAGGAUACUUUUUAUUUCCAAAUUGAUGUAUAGAUUCCACAAUGUAAUCCCAAUCAAAAUUUCAGGAGGUUUUUAAUGAAAGCUGUAUUAAGAUAUAAUCCAUAUAUCCUAGAAUUCACCCAUUUCAUGUGUACAACUCAGUGGUUUUUAGCAUAAUCACAGAUACGUGCAACCGUCACCAUAGUCAAUUUUAGAACAUUUCAUCACCUCGAACAGGGACCUGGUUCCUUUUAGCUGUCACUCCCUUAUCCUUCCCAUCCCCCUCAGCCCUAAGCAAACACUAAUCUACUUUCUCUUUCUAUAGUUAUAUGCUUUCUCUUUUAAGUCAUGAAAUACCUUUUAAUGUAUUAUUAAAUGACUGAAAUCAUUCAAGUCAUAAUUUCAACAAUAUUUUUUCCUAGGGUAAUAUCUUAUGUUCCCUUUUCCCCAGUCAUUCACUUUUGGAAUUAUUUAGAACAAUGGAAGUAGGAACAGUAGAAGUAGAAGUAGGGAGCAAAUAAAUAGCCAUUUAAAAAAUAGGGCUUUUUAGGGCACCUGAGUGGCCCAGUCGGUUAAGCAUCCAACUUCGGCUCAGGUCAUGAUCUCACAGUUGGUGGAUUCAAACCCCAAGUCAGGCUCCGUGCUGACAGCUCAGAGCCUGGAGCCUGCUUUGGAUUCUGUGUCUCCGUCACUCUCUGACCACCCCCCACUCACACUCUGUCUCUCUGUCUCCCAAAAACAAAUAAACAUUAAAAAAAAUAAUUAAAAAGGGCAUCUGGGUGGCUCAGUUGGUUAAGAAUCUGACUUCAGCUCAGGUCAUGAUCUCAUGGUCCAUGAGUUCAAGCCCCAUGUCGGGCUCUGUGCUGACAGCUUAGAGCCUGGAGCCUGUUUCAGAUUCUGUGUCUCCCUCUCUCUACCUGUCCCCCGCUUGCACUCUGUCUCUUUCUCUCGAAAAUAAACAUUGGGGCACCUAGGUGGCUCAGUCGGUUAAGUGUCUGACUUCAGCUCAGGUCAUGAUCUCACAGUUCAUGGGUUCGAGCCCCACAUCGGGCUCUGUGCUGACAGCUUGGAGCCUGGAGCUUGCUUUGGAUUCUAUGUCUUCCUCUCUCUCUGCUCCUCCCCCGUUCAUGGCUCUGUCUCUCUGUCUUCGACAAAAAUAAAUAAAAACAUUUAAAAAUAAAUAAAUAAUAAAUAAACGUUAAAAAUUUUUUUUAAUUUAAAAAUAAAGAUAAAUUAAAAAUAGGGCUUAUUAACACUUAAUUAUUUAAACCAGGAAAUGGAGAAUGAUCAUUUGAAUCUUUAAGGGGAAUUUAAUUGUACAAGUUUAAUCAUUUCACAUGGAAUCAAAACACUAGAUUCAAAGCUGUGCAUUUCAGUAGGAACUUCAGCUUUUCUGUGUGUGCUUGUCACAAAGGAGCACUUCCUGGGUGCUCUGGGGAGAGACAAUUUAAGCCCUUACCUUCCACCUUUGUGCCAGGACUUUAUUAAUAGAUAUUUAGUAUAAAGAAUUAAACAGACUUUUUAUUACCGUAUAAUUUACAUGUCAAGAACAUACAGAUGUAAAGUGUACACAGUUGGGUGAUACCUGUGUAACCACGGCCUAGGUCAAAGUCUAGAACGUUUCCACCACUCUAGAAAAAGCUUUUCAUGCCCUUUUCAGGCAGCCCUUCCCCUUCUCCCACUCCAGUGUAACCACAGUUGUAGUGUCUAACAUCUCAGUGUGGUUUUGCUGUUCUAGAAUUUCACAUAAAUGGAAUCAUGCAGCAUGUACUCUCACGUCUCGGAUCUUCACCUGUUGUGCAUGAAUCAGUAAUCCACUGUUUUGUUUCUCAUUGGUGUUCUGUUGUGUGGAUGUACCACCAUUCGGCCAUCUGCCUGUCGUUUAACCACUUGGCUUUCGUUUCCAUUUGGCUAAUACAAAUAAAGGCGCUGUGAACAUCCUUAAAAAAGCCCUUGUGUGAAUAUAUUUUCAUUUUUCCAGGGUAAAUAUCUAGGCAUGCAACUGCUGUGUCGAAGGGUAGGUGUUUAACGUCAUAAGAAAGUGUCAGACUGUUUUUUCAAAGUGUUUGUACCACUUUUCAUUCUCACCAGCGAGGUAUGCGAAUUCCAGUUCCGUAUCUUCUCUGAUAUUUGGCGUUGCCAAUCUGUUUAAUACUAGUCAUCCUAUGUGAACAUGAACUAGUAUCCCACUGUGAUUUUAAUUUGCAUUUCUGUGAAAACUAAUGAUGCUGAGUGCUAUUUUAUGUGUUCACUGGCUGUUUGUAUGACUUCUGUCAAAUGUUUGUUUAAGUUUUGUGCCCAUUUUAAAAGUCAGGUUAUUUGUUUGGUAUCCAGUUGCAGGGGGUUUUGUUUGUUUGUUUGUUUUUAGUGUAUUCUGGAUACAAGUCUUUGUUGGGUUACAAAUAUGUUCUUUGUGGCUUGCCUUUUCAUUUCUUAACAAUGCCUUUAGAACAGCAGGGGUUUUUGUGUGAGUAGCAUGUUUUGUAUUCUAAGAAAUCCUUAUCUUGCAUCCCAAAGUCACAAAGAUAAUUGUUUUUUUUUUUUUCCCUAGAAUCUUUUUAAUUAGUAUUUUUAUUUUGAGGUCUGUGAUCCACGUUAGUUACCCAGUUAUUCCAGCAACAUUUCUUCUUAAGAGUCUGCUCUUUCCCCCAGUGGCCUUGGUACCUAUGUGAAAAAUCAGUUAACCAUUUAUGUGGAGUUCAUUUCUAGACUCUUCUGUUCCAUUUAUCUGUCAUCUGUUCUUUCACUGAUACCGUACUGUUUGGGUUACUGUGGCCAUUACAGUAUAUCUAGAAAUUAGGUUGUACAAGUUCUUCAAUGUGGUCUUCAUUUUCAAGAAUGUUUGACUCUUCUAGGUCCUUUGCGUUUCCAUAUACAUUUUAGAAGCAGCUUAUUCUGCAGAAAUGCUUGGUAGGAUUUCAGCUGUGAUUGCAUUGAAUCGAGAAACCAGUUUGGAGAGAAUCGACAAUGUUGAGUUUCUCAGUCUAUCAGCAUGGUGUAAAUAUAUGUUUAUUUGAGUCUUUCUAAUUGCCCUGCAAUAUUUUUUGGUUUUUGGUAUGGAAGUCUCGCAUAUUUUUUUGGUAAAUUUUUCUGAAUAUUAUUUUUUGAUAUUAUUGUAGUUUGCGUUUAAUUUUUUUUAUUUUCUGUCAUUUGUUGCUCAUAGAAAUGUAAUUGAUUUUUGUACAUUGACCUUGUGCCCUGUGCCUUUGCUAAACUCACUUAUUUAUGUUUAUUUUGAAAGUUUUCUGUAGAGUCCCUAGGGUUUUCUAUGUACACAAUCAUAUCAUCUGUAAAUGAUAGUAAUUUCACUUAUUUUCCAAUUUGUAUACCUUUUAUUUCAUUUUCUUGUCUCUUGCACUGGCUUCUAGUACAAAGGUAGGUGGCAGUGAUGAGAGUGGACAUCCUGCCUUAUGUCUGACCUUAGAGAGAAAACAUUCAGUGUUUCCACUAAACAUGAUAUUAGCUCUAGGUUUUUCUUAGAUGCCUUUUAUCAGAAAGAGGGAGUUCUCGUCUAUUCCCAGUCUGUUAGAGCUUUUAUCCUGAAUGGAUAUUGGGUUUUGUCAAUGCCUUUUCUGAAUCUGUUGAGACCAUCAUAUUAUUUUCUUUUAAUUCCGUUAAUGUGGGUGAAUUACACUGAUGGUUUCUAAAUGUUGAAACCAUCAUUUUCAUUCCUGGGAUAAACCCCAUUUGGUCGUGAUCUGUUAUACACAGACACGUUAAUCUGUUUAUUCUUUGGGGGAAAGCAUAGUCUGCGUACGUAGCAAAAAUAUAUUCUUUUCAAUGGUUAAAGAUGGCAUAGUUGAAGUUUAUAUGCAGAUAUUUAUAAGUUUUUUGAAAGAAAAUUUGUCCAGCCCAAAAAGGAAGGGUUAUCAUAGAUUUUUAACCUUGGCUCUAGUGUUAAUGAGAUGGGUGGCCUCUUCAGAUCUCCAUACCCUUAUCAGUAACAUAAAUACUUCAAGUUGGGUGACUUAAAAGAUCCCUUCCAACAAAAUUGCUACGUGUUUUCAUAUAACAUUGAUAAUAAUGGUUUCUGAUUUCUUCUAUACCCUGGUUAUAAAUAUAAGUAGCUUAAUUCUGGUGUAAUGAAUAGAAAAUUACAAUGACUUAUUACCAACACAAGUGUAUAAAUACUACUUUUUAAAACUCCAAUAUAUAAAUACAUAAUUUCCAUAUAUGUUCACACUUUAUGAAUGUUCUAUAAAGUUUUUACUUAUUUUGCUGAGUAAAAUAUGAAGUUUUAUUGGAGGAGGUUAUACAUUUAUGAAUAAAGCACUAUUUAAAAAUGAUAAUAGGUUUGGAGUGCCUGGGUGGCUCAGUUGGUUAAGCGUCUGACUUUUGGUUUGGGCUCAGGUCAUGAGCUCACAGUUCAUGAGAUCAAGCCCCAUGUGGGGCUCUGCACUGAUGGAGCAGAGCCUUCUUGGGAUUCUCUCUCUCUCCUUCUCUUUCUUUCUCUCCCUCUCUUUCUGCCUCUCUUCCACUUGCACGCGUGUACUCUCUUUCUCAAAAUAAAUAAACCUAUAAAAGGGGUGCCUCGGUGGUUUAGCUGGUUAAGUGACUGAGGUCAUGAUCUCACCGUUCGUGAGUUCGAGGCCUGUGUCGGGCUCUGUGCAGACAGCACAUAUUUGAAUACAUAUUUUUAAAAAUAUUAAAAAAAAUAAACCCAAAAAGAAUUGUAAUAGGUUUCUUUAAUCUUCAGCUGUUUUCUUUGUAAGAGUACUUUUUUCUUCCUAAUUUUUUUGUAGUAUUAUCACUUUAAUACAUAGUACUACAUACAUGGUUUAUCAUUGGAAUAUAUAAAAUAAGUAUUAUAAAGACACAUCAGACCUUUAGAAAUAUGGCUACAUAAUUUGUUCACGGGUUUAUUCAGCAGACCAUUAAGUACCUAGUAAAUGCCAGCACCUCUGCUAGAUGUAGAGAUAAAAGAAGAGAGAUGGUCUGUACCAGCACCUCUAACCUUUUUUUUUUUUUUUAACUGAAGAGGCUGUUUUAUUUUAUUUUAGUUUUUUUUUUUUUUACAUUUAUUUAUUUUUGAUAGAGAGACACAGAGCACAAGCGGGGGAGGGGCAGAGAAUCCGAAGCAGGCUCCGGGCUCCAAGCCAUCAGCACAGAGCCCAACGCAGGGCUCAAACUCACUGCGAGAUCAUGACCUGACCUGAAGUCAGACACCCAACCGACUGAGCCACCCAGGUGCCCCACCAGGACCUCUUAGCCGUUGAAGAGAUGGACAAGUUGAAAAAAAAGCAGUGAUGACAAAACAGUGUGGAAAUAUUUGGGGAGUGCAGAGGAGCGGGUCGCGAGGAAAUGCUUCUUAGAAAUUGGUACCUCAAAGUAGGGGUUGGCCAUUUAAAGAGGGAGGAAGCAUGAGGCCAGAGAAACUGCACAUGUAGACCCCGGUGGCUAGAGGAGAAAGAACAAAUUCAGUGACCUAGCAGUCAUUUAGAGGAGUUAGAGCAAAGGCUGUGUGUGUGGUGUUGGCUACUGAAGACACUGGAAGGCAGGGGCCACGUGAUGGCAAGCCUUGUGUACCACAUCAAGGAGACUUUAGUUUAUUCUGAAAAUACUGGGGAGGUUUUUCAACAAGAAAAUAGGCAAUGAAAAUUAUUCUUCAAGUUUGACAAGUAAGUCUUUGGUAAUAUUUAUUAGCAAGAGUUAUUUCAGUAGGAAAAUAAGGCAAACUUUUAAAGUUAGUAAAGGUGAUAAUAGUAAGUCAACUUUAGUUUGCUGCAUCUAGGUCUACAGAUUCUGUUUACACACAUGUCAAGAUUUAUCCAUGCAUGAUUAGUCCAGCAUUAAUGAGGGCAUAGUGGGGUGCUGAUAUGCCUGCUUCUUGGAGUAGUGAAAGUAUCAGCUUAGCCACCAGACAGUGGUGCUAGCCACAGAGAGUAGGUAAUCCAUUGAGUUAUCUCCCUUUACACCCAGGCUAAUAGAUAGGAGCAAUGACUGUGUCAAUUGAUUACUGUGUAACAAACCACAUUCCAAAGACUUAGUGGCAUAAAACACCAUUGAUUUGCUUGUGUUUCUGUGAGUUGGAAGUUCAGGUAGGCUCAAACGGGACCACCGCCUUGGCUUCUUGCGGUGUCGUCUGGGCUCAUCUCUGAAUGUGCGGUCUGUCGGCAGAAGACUAAGGGUUUUUGGAUGGGGCUGCUGGCCCGGCUGCCUCAGUUCUCAUCCACACGGCUUCUCACGUUUCAGUGGGAGAGACUCAGCUUCUUGACAUGGUUGUGCCAACAUUCCAAGAGGGUGAGAAGAGAAGCUGUGGGACGUCACAUAACAUCACUCCUGCCACGUUCUCUUGGUCAAAGCAAGGCCCAGGGCCAGCCCAGAAUUAAGGGAUGGGAACAUAGACUCCAUCAUUUCAGAAGGUUGUCUGUGGCCACACUUUAUCUACCAUAGCCCCUUCUCUGGCCACGUUUGUUAGCAUUCCUCCCACAUUCCGUCUCUCACAGGACUCUCAAAGUCUCGUCCCAUCAUGGCGUCAGGCUUGAAGUUCAUGAUCUCAUGAUACAGGUCAGUUCUGGAUGCAGAUGAGGCUUCCAGGUGCAGCACUUCAGUUACCUGUGAACAUAAGAGCCACGCUCAGCCAUCCACAAUGAUGAGGAGGGACACGUUAACCACACUAGAUGCUUGCAUUCGAAAAGGAGAGUGACCAGAGGCACGUAGCGGUCACUGCCCCCCUGAACUCCUGUCAGGUGUGUGUUGUCAAUGCCCCCUAUUCUUGGGACAGGGAAUGGUUCUGCCCUACUCCAUGAUUCUCCAGGACCCUUGGCUCCCUCCUCUGGGGUUUCUUCUCUUUCCCGUAAGACAUAGCUUAUCAUGUGCAGCUUUCUUACCCUGCUUCAUGCAUGGAGAAAAGUGGCUGUUGGUAUUUUUCAACAAUACAGCUUUCUUGAAAAAUGUAACGGGUCUCCUCUGAAUUUUAAUGGUGUUCACUACAUUCCCCAAAAGCCGCAUCUAUAACUGUUUUUGAGACAGACCUCUCUACUUUGGGCACAUAAAGCUUAUAUGGAAUAAUCCUCGCAGGAUUCCGAGUAGGACUUUUGUCUAGCUGAUGACAUUUACGAGGUACCACCCAAAGUCUUUCUGGAGUCUUAGCAAAGAGUAAUACAGCCAUUUUAUCACCAUUCUUUGCUGUCAGGGAAAGAGGAGCGACACCAGGCACUGGCUGGGCAAACUGUGGCCUGCAGUCCAAAAUCCUGCCACCAGUGAUCUGUUUUUGGACAGCCCACAAGCUAAGAAUAGUUGUGAAUUUUUAAAGAGUUAUUAAAGGAAACAGAAGAAUAUGCAAUAGAGACCAUUUAGGACUCAAAAAGCCUAAGAUGUUUACCAUCUGGUCCUUUAAAAAAAAAAAAGUGUGGCACCCAUUAUAAUUCAAGAAAAACUAUCACCAUAAUGUUUGACAUCCAUGAGAAAAAGCAGCGUGUUUAGCUUCCUGAGACAUCAAAAGCAUUUGGCAAAAUUAAUCCAUUUUUCUUAACAAAAACUCAAAAAAUAGAUUCAGAGGGUGCCAUAUGCAAAGGGUAGAAAAACCAGUAAUAUUUUUAGGAAAAAGCUCCACAAUAGAAUCAGUAGAAGAAUAAUUCUUUAUGGUUAUUUCUGUUUGAUAUCAUGUUUUAAAAACAUACAGUACUGGGGCGCCUGGGUGGCUCAGUCGGUUAAGCGUCCAACUUCAGCUCAGGUCAUGAUCUCACGGUUUGUGGGUCUGAGCCCCGCUCUGGGCUCUGUGCUGACAGCUCGGAGCCUGGAGCCUGCUUCGGAUUCUGUGUCUCCCUCUCUCUCUGCCCCUCCCCCACUUGUGCUCUCUCUCUCUCUGUCUCUCAAAAAUAAAUAAAUGUAAAAAAAAAAAAUUAAAAAACAUGCAGUGGUGAAGUGGAAUAUGAAAGUAAUGACAACUCAAUGUGAGAAAGAUGGAGUAACAAAAAUGCCAUUCUUAAAAGCAAUACGUACAGAAAACUCCAGAAGAUCACUGUUUCCUUUAGCUAUAGCUAUACAGCUAGAAAAUAAAAGAAAAAAGAUGCUGUUUACAGUACUAAUAGAGUCAUGUUCUUAUAUAUGUAUGUGUACACGUAUAUAUUAGAAAUUAUUAUAACACUCUGGCAGAAGGAAUAAAGGACUUAACAUAUAUUUCUGCUCAUGUCUGGAAUAUUCAAUUUAAUUAGCAUGUCGAAGUGCUGAUUUAAAGUAAUACCAUUAAUACCAAUUAAAAUGACUCCAGUAGUCUUCCGUCACGUUCUGAAUGCAAUUCAAGCUCUAAGCUUAGCCUGUCAUCCUGGGGUCCUCGAACCCCAUGAUCUGGUACCCACCUGCCUUUGCGACUUGCUGGACAUCCAUCUGGCUUCCCAUCUCAGCCCUUCCCCUGGCUCAUUUGCCCUUUCUCUCCCAUCCUGCCACCAUUACUUCUAGACGACUAGGGUAGGCAAUUAAUAUUCCAGUCUAAACCCUUGAAUUGUAAAAGGAACAGCCUGACACCUGGUAGGUACUUAAAAUAUAUUUCUUGAAUUGAACUAAAAAUGUACCACCUGCAUGAGAGUGCUUUUCCUGUUUAUUAUUGGUAUACACUUUAAAAAGACAUGUUGCAGUCAUUUUCCCUGCAGAAGGAGAAACAUAAAAAUGUAAGUAUUAUAUGAGAAGAGGUGUGAUUUCUAUAGACCGGACAGUCCAGGAAUAGCCAGGCAAUGGAUCUGUUUAUAGCAUGUAUUGCCUAAAUUGCCUAAUAGGCCAUGUUGAGAACUCUCCACUUGGUUGACGUGAGGUAACACCCCAUUCUUCUGGACACUGUGACUAAUUAGGACCUUGGGAGAGGAAACCAGAGCUUGGUUUGCCCUAGUUUGCCAGGAUGCCUGCAAAAUAAGAGAAAACGAUUUUAUGACUUGCAGAAGGAUGGAAUUAGAUGUGUGGUUUCUUUGGAAUUCGAAAGGAUAAGUAAAUCUGGAAAUAUGCAAUACCUAGGAAAGUAAGAGGUCCAGAGGAUUACCGAGAGCUUCCCCAGUGAUGAAUUGUGUUAGAAAUUAUUGUGAUUGAAUGAAGUCAAGAAUUGUUCAGUCACUGUUCUAUUUAUUGGGUCACGGAGAGGCGAGGGGUGUUCUCCUCAGAAUGCACUUCCAGCAGAGAUGGCAAAAACCAAAAACCUGCACUUGCCACAACCCCAUUCUUUUGAAGGGCCCAUGGUUUCCAAGAACUAAUCCACUUGGUGAAAUGGGGAUACAGGCAUGCAGUCCAGAGGGGGAACAGUAAACUUGGGUUGGUGCGGAACAAAAAGCAUCACAGAAGAGGUUUAGCUGGGGCUGGGCCUUGAAGGUAGUGAGGGACCCCUUAGCUAAGUGGGAGGAAGUCACAGAAGUUCCAGACAAUGUGUCAUACCGAGGUCAGGAGGCAGGAAUGCCUGUUCACGUAGCGAUGAGGAUUUGCCAGUGUCCUGUCCUGUCCUGGAGCAAGGGAUGUGGCACUUCACACACUCGUAAGGUUUCUGCAAGCUCUAUUAGAAUGUUACUAGUUCAUCUGCUAAAGAGAAAGACUCAGAUUAGGAGGACUCUACAGGAACGAUGUGCCCAAAAUGGGUUUACAUUUUUUUAAAGACCAUAUUACACAUAGAUAACUCCAAACUCCUUCACAUGGCCCACAGGCCACAUUGGAUCUGGCACUCUCCACCUUGCCAACCUGUGCCCUCCAGCCAUCCUGGCCCGCUUGCUGUGCUGUGAAAUAGCCGAGCUCAUUCCCUACCCUUUGUAUACUUCCGAGAGCCCUUUUCCUCCAAAUCUUUGCGUGGAUUCCUUCUUCUGUUCAUUUAAGUAUCUACUCAAGUGGCCCGUCACUCUAUAAUCCCUGUCCUGUUAAUUUUCUUCGUAGCACUGCGUUCUGUCUGGAGGUUUCUUAUUUGUGCCCAUUAUUUUCCAUCUCCUCUGCACGAGCAUCAGCUUCGUGAGAAAGUGAAUAUUGUCUUCUUUGUUCACCACUCCAUCCAAAGCGUCUGGCCCAUGGUAGGGGCUCAGUAAAUAUUUCCUGAUUGAAUAAUAGAGACAUUUGGACAUGAACAGUUCAGCAAGUUGACUGCUGUAUGAGAAGUAAAUCAGGAACCUGAAAUGUAGCUUUCCUGGGGAGGGGAUUAGAGAAGGCUUUCCACAGAGGGACUAAAGACCUGCCUGAAGAAUGAGUUAGCGUUUGGCCGAUGGGAGGACGGUAGUGGACAGCUGCAAAAAAAGCAGUGCGCGUGAGGCAGGUGUAUUGGGGAGGGCAGACCAGUAGUGUUCAGGAAACCCUUCGUAGCUGGACAUGUGGGGUUGGGUCAGGUGUGGUGGCAGGAGCUGACACACUGGACAAGUCAGUAGGAAUCAUGUCACGAAGGGUCUUCUAGGCCUGAAAAGAAAUUCGGAUUUUCCCUUUGAAGUAUUUCUGAGCCUUUCCAUAACCAGGGCACUAGAAGGAACAGUCUGAAUGCUGCGCCUCUGCUCUUCUCAUUCCUUUCAACUCUCAGCCUGUGGCAUCUAACUUGCACCCUUAUCACUGCAUUAAUGCCGCCUUUGCUGAGGUCCCUGGUGACCCUCUACUUGAUAAAUGCUUUUCUGCCAUCAUUUUAUACAACUAAAGAACAACAGCUCUUGACCUGGUUUCCUCUCUUCUCUCCUGAACUGCUCUCUUCCUUUGAUUUCUCUUGUUCUACAUUUCUUUGGGGGUGCUACUUCUCAGUCUCCUUUACAGACUUCUUUCUCUCCAGCACCUUCUUCAUUCUUGAAAUGGUGAGUGUUCCAAAGCCAUCCGUCCACUCUUGUCAUUCUUCAUGCUCUCCUUAGGAAAUCUCCUGUGCCCUUGACUUCUGCUGCAGGGACUCCCAAAAGACUUGGGAGUUGUGUACUUCGCAUCUUUUUCUUAAGCUCCAGAUCUAUCUAUCCAGUAGUCACCUUGUUGCCUAAACCAGAAUUCUCCAAGUUCUUUCAGAUUUUUCUUUUCUCCCCCCUUCCACCUCAUAGAUAAUCAACUGUAAGUUAUUUCAGUUCUUCUUUGCAAUUUCUCAAUUCUGUCUCCUUUUCAGAUUUACUGUUAGCACUUCUGUUUAUCAGUAUCUCUUAUCCAGAUUAUUGUUUUCCUUGCUUCUAAACACUGAUCAAUCAAUCCCUCUCCCUCCCGCCCCAAUUCUGUCCUCUAUACAGUGGCUAGAGUGGUCUUUCUAAGAAGCAAAUCCGAUUAUAUUACUGUGACUCCCUGCCCACUGACUAAAGUGAGGAAUCUGAACUUCAUUUGUCAAUUCCUUUACUGCCCAUGACGUCAGUGUCCAGACUGGCUCUCUGCUUCCAGUCCCACUUCCAUACUUCUGGCAAUGACCGCUCCUUUUUCUGAUCUCCGACACCGAAUAUCUGUACCACACCCAGGUACUUACUUAUACCACAUGCCUUCUAUUGUCCUUUAACUGUUUGUGUGUAUGUAUUUUAUGGACCAAAUGAAGGGACCUUCUCCAGGGCUUGGACCAUAUCCUCCAGAAAGGGUAAGACAGUCAGUGCUGUGGAUAUAGUGUGCAGUUGAUACAUAUUCAUUAGAUUACCUUCACUAAUAAGUUUUUCUUUGUAGAUGUUCUUCAUUAAUCAUGUCAGUUUCUCCUUUUAAAAUUGUGUUCUCUGAGUUUUACAUUUAACCGCAUGAAGACUUUUUGUUUAGUAGCUUCAUAUUAUUGGUUUGCUAAUUAAUAGGGCUGAACUUUUCAUUUUCACCUAGCACAUUUUUUUUUUCAUAGAUGAGGAAUUCUUGCAAUGUGCAUGGUGGUAAUAACAGCUAUUUGGGGAAAAAUCAGCAAGAGUGUGCUAAAUACCGUCCAAUGCUCCUACAUUCUUCUGUCAUUGGAAAGGUUUAUAAACUGAAAAGUAUCACAACUUUAAUGGGAUUUGAGAUCAGUUAAUUUGAUUCUUAGCUUCUCGAAUGCAACCUUUUGAGAAAAAAGGAACUUAUGGUUCAAUUUAAGACAAAGCACUAGGAAUUACGUGUCUCAUGACCUCAGAACAUGAAGGAUUGUUUUGUUUCUAACACAGGCAUUGACGUGUAGAGAAGAACUCCUCACUCUACUCCUGUCACUCCUUCCACUGGUAUGGAGGAUACCCGUUCAGGAAGAGAAGGCAGCAGGUAUGUUUCUUUUAUCGUAUCACUUGCGUUACCAAAAUUCCACUGGGGAAAAAAGUUCCGUUGAAAAGCUCCUUCUGCCUUGGUAGUUGAUACACUUCAAAUUCAGAACAGUGUCUAUUAGUGUGAGACUUGACAUGAGAAGUUCUUUACGCAAACACAUUUUUAUUCCUGCUAAUACAAAAACCAUGGUGCUUCUUAGGGGAUUACUCAAACGUAAUGACGUAAUGACGAUUGGAAAACAUAUGAGGAAGGAGAUCACUCAGCAGAAGGAGUAAAUGUAGGUGUGCAACCCUGUCUGAGAAAUGGAUAGUGAAACGUUCAAAAAAAGAAAUGACAUUUCCUUCGCUUAUUUUAAAGACUGCUUUCUAUGACCAGUGCUCUACCAGUGACUUUUGCUGUUUAGUUUAGGGUUUGGUUUGGUUUUGUUUUAACAUUUCUUUGAAAGGGUUAAUUGGAAGGAAUACUUUGUUUCAAGGCUGGGUAGAAUUCUUUCACUAAGGUCAAUAUCUGUUGUUAGUUUCUGAUUUUGAAAAAACUUACACACACACAUAUAUCAUAUUAAGUGUAUGAAACUUCGUUUAAAUGUUUCAGUAGAGGACUUACAGUUUUCCUCUUGACCAUUACGUGAUACGUGGGAUAUGUGAAUUGUGAGAUGUUUAGUGAUCUCUCAGGAUAAAAAUAAAUCUUUAUAUAUUGUAUUUUAAUGCCACGUAUGCAUUUUAAUUUCUGAUAUGAAGCUCUCUUCAGGGGAUUAAGGUCUUGUAAGAUUGCCAUCCUGCUUAUUGGUUGAUUCACUAACUCUCUGCUCUUACUUACUUCUGAUUUUGUAGAAUUCACAAAUUGUCUGGCGCUUAAGAUGUCUGGUAUUCUUUUGGGAAAGCUGUCUUCCUUGCCUGCGUCUUUUGCAUCGGUAGAAUUUGUCCAACUCCUUUUAAUUUCUCCCCUUCCUCUCUUAAUUAAGGCCGAUAUCUUUUAUUUAGAGAUUGUUAUUUAUUUGUUCUAAAUUGCAACUAUAUUUUUCACAUAGAUCUUUCUACAUAGCAGUGCAAAGGGAAAGACCGAUUUUCUGAACUUUUUAGUUAGUAAGGAAGAUUUAUGCAUUUCCCCCAGAGGGAGGUAUUGUGCAUGGGCCAUGUGCUGGGGCCCUCAGUUCGAGGCACUGAGGACAAAACGGGGAUGCCUGUUCCUAGCUCACUGUGAGGCACAUUCAGUAAUAUUUUGAAGAACUCUUUUAACCUCAAUCUUUGUGAAUAAUCUAUUAUAUGCUUUUAAAAUAAUUUUGGGAAAUCUUAAAGUUCUUAAGUUAUAUCAAUAAUAUAGACUAAGUACUAUUUUUGAGAAUAUAAUAUGCCUUUGUUUCUUAAUUAAUGGGACUGUUGAAGGAGAUUUGUAAUAUAGUAUGAAGAGUAGUGCCAAAUCCUAGAUAAUCUAGAGUCUCGUCUGUUGAUGUCAGAGUGUAAAGUAUGGUUUUUAAAUUAGAUUUUCUUCCCUAAUUUUGUUCUCCUUUGUUGUGUUCCAAAUCAAUUUGUAUCCCCUGAACCAGUCUACCUGGGACUGAGCAUGAGAAAAAUAAUUAUGGGGGGAAAGUGAUCUGGAGACAUAACACAUCGCUAAGGGAAAUCAGCCCCAGUAAAAAUUAACGGAGGAAAAGCUCCUAAAGUGGAAGAUAAAUAAGAGAAUAAUCACCUGCACAAAUUGAGUUUGAAAACAUAUUAAGGUAUUCUAAAUUUUCUUUCUUCAUUUUAUUAGAUUUUAAUCUACCGUUCUCAGCUGAUAUAAUCCUGGCCAAAGAAAAGAACUCAAGUUCACAAAGAUCUACUCAGGAAAAAUUAUAUUUAGAAGGAAGUGCCCCAUCCGGUCAGGUUUCUGCAAAAGUAAAUGUUUUUCGAAAAAGCAGACGACAGCGUAAAAUCACCCACCGCUAUUCUGUAAGAGAUGCAAGAAAGACACAGCUCUCCACCUCAGAUUCAGAAGCCAAUUCAGAUGACAAGAGCAUGGCAAUGAAUAAGCACAGAAGGCCCCGUCUGCUACAGCAUUUCGCAACACAGUCUCCUAAAGAAGACCACCUUACAGCUAAACUUGACCACUUAGCAACCAAAGAACGGACUCCUCCCGACACCAUGGCUUUGGAAAAUUCCAAGGGGAUCCUUCCAAGACAGGAGUCAAACACCGACAUUUUGAGUGAGCCAGCUGCCUUGUCGAUUCUCAGUCACAUGAACAAUUCCCCAUUUGACUUAUGUCAUGUUUUGUUAUCUUUAUUAGAGAAAGUUUGUAAGUUCGACAUUACCUUGAAUCAUAAUUCUGCUCUAGCAGCCACUGUAGUGCCCACGCUGACUGAAUUCCUAGCGGGCUUUGGGGACUGCUGUAAUCUAAGGGACAGUUUGGAGAGUCAGAUGGUUUCUGCAGGCUG
rnacentral:lncRNA from 1 species